rnacentral:lncRNA from 1 species
UUUGCUUGCAUAUCGAGUUGAAUUCAACAAAAUAUGUUUUUGAUAAGGGGUUAAAAACAGUCCUUUACACAACCUUGUGCUGAUGAACUAGGCCUUGUGAUAGAUUGCACGAGCAAACAAAUAGACCAAAGGGGGGGAAAAGAGGAAAAUGUCUUGCCCCCUUUAGAGUCAAGAGUUGUACGCAACAUGAACACGCAGAGGGAUAUACCCAGCAAAGAUACAGCACACUGCUGAUGACCAAAUACAGAGUCGAUCAAACCUUGCCCAUAUUUCUAAUUUUAGGCAUCCUGGAUAGAUCAACAAGUAUUUGGUAUACUUUGGAAUGGGGUUCAUGGUGGCAAAAUCCAUGUUGCAUGUUGGCAAGUUUUAGUGCAGCCACAUUGCUCGGAACAACAGUCGACUUGAAGCUAUCUUGAAGCCCCAAAUCAACAAGUUGUCAACUUCAGCUCCAAAUCAGUUCCUUAUCUCGCUCCCAUUGCAUUCAGUGUCGACCUAGAAGAGAGCAUCAGUCAUGACUGACACCACCACAACCAUCCUCACAAAAAAAUGAUAUAAAACCACAAACAUCCUGAAAAUGCACAGGUUAGAUCAAAUACAUGUUGGUUCAAACGCACAACCUCUGGUCUACUUACUACCUAGAAUUGAGAUUUUGCUGAUAUGACUAUGCUUCAAGUUGGAGUGUCAAAGUACCCCAGUAUGCCACUAUGCAGGUUAUAGAGUGGCAUCAGCAAAUCAUUCGACUUCUGCUAGAAAGAUACAGCUUUACUAUACAGAAAAAAGUACAGAACUGAAACAUAGAACACUGCCCGUAGGAAACACAUACGACUAUUCCUGCUGUUUAGUUGAUUAAUUCAGCUAAUGCAAUUACCAAGUCCUAGUUACAGGUGUGAUACCAAUCAACUAUCAUGUAUAGGUAUAGGUAUAGCUCAAUCUGAUUGCCUUCAAUUUCAGCCACAUUAAGAGACAACUUAACCAAUUUAGUGUAUUAUCACAUCAUAGGAACAGGUUGUCUGCUGAAGCAAUUAAAUAAAACAGACACUAGUUUCCCUCUCUCGUCAUAUAGAGAAUACAUGGAACUAUAACACUAACAGCUGCAUGCAUCAGUAACAUUACUGGAAGACCAAACAUAAAAAAGUGUUCCUGAUCACAUGAACCUAUAUGUUGCAUUGCAUAAGGUUAUAUCGGCAUUGCUACAGUUUUGUCAGAAGAAAAAUAAAUAAAUAAAACUGAUCACGAACCAGCUUUCUUUGCAAAGCAACAUCAGCAUAAACAAUAUUAAGGACAAGUUCUAUUAAAAGGAGCAAAAGCACUGUGAUCAAACAGUAUCAGUGUACACCAGUGUACUUCAUAAUGAACUGCUUCCAUAUGGCUCUAGAAUAUUGGUUCUCCAAGCUAAAAACAUGUGCCUUAAGGUAGUUAGGCCACAUAACAUGAUCCAGAUAUUAUGCACUAUUCCUUAAUCAUUGAACAAGUUAUGUGCAUAACCAAUCGACUGACUAAUCUUGUUCCACGUGAAAUACUACUAUCACCCUUCUGUAGGUAUUGCAAAACUUAAUCAAUCAAGAGAAAACAAAACAAAAGGUCCACAUAAAAGCAUUCAGGGUUAUAAAAGAUGCUGAGGUGAAACUUGAACCACACUGACUACCGAGUAAUACUUUCUGAUUGGCUAAUGAAUAAUAAUCUAUGCACAACUACUAAUAUGGGUUUACUUACCUCUCAUUUUUUCCAACCAUUCAAUAUGUUGUAUACUAGUCGUCCGAAGCCCUAAAAUUGUGAUGCAGUAAUGAUAGAGUGCAGCCAAGUUAGCAGAGUGGCAAAUGUACCAGAACAUCAGGAGGCAGUGCACAGUUGAAACAAGGUACAUAUGCAACAACUUUCAGGUUGAUUAUAAACACAAAGAAAAGGAGAAUAACAGGUGCCCCAUGCUCAAUCUUUAUACCAAUUUAAGACGAUAGUGAGUAUUAUAUUAUGAAAAUUUAAUUUAAUUAAGAUAAUAUUUUUUCGUGACGUUACUUCACCACAUCCAGAAAUGCACCAAGAGGAGACAAUAACUGAUUCACGUCUUUAACUUAAAAAAAUGAAGUCAAUGAACAAAACAGGAUCGAAGAAAGAGGUGUGCAAAUAAAAUAUUGUACUAGUGUAGGGCUUAAAACUGGGGUUUCUAAGGGCAUGUACAACACCCAUAUGUGAACCAACCCUUAUAGGUAGUUAGGUGCCUAUCUUGUAGUGGUGGAGCUUGCCACAGGCAUACCAGAGAGCUUGCAUACAGGGCGUGUUUGGAUGCAACCGUAGCGAAAAAUUGCCUCGCCUGUAGCAAGCCUGUGACCUGCCUCAAUACAGAAUGCCAUCAUUAAUAUUAAAGACUGAAAGAAACGACUAAUACAGAAUGCCAUCAUUAAUAUCAAUGGAGGGAGUAUCACUCAAAUGAGCAGCAUCAAUACCACCAUUAAUUAUGCUUGUGAAAUAUGCCCCUACAUCCAUUGUUCCUGUAAUACAGAAUGCAAAUUAUUAUUGGUCAAAUAUUAAAGACUGAAAGAAACGAUUACUGAAUUAAAGAACAACUCGAGAGAGCACUGGACUGAAUGGUUGCAGAUUCAAAAGUGUGUGUUUGAAUAAAAAAACUCUCAAAGAGUAGUAAUAUCUCUACUCCCCCAUGCCCCACAGUAGAAACAACUGAAGUACGUUAUGGCACUGUCAAAGACUAAGGACAUACUAAAAGUGAAUGGAGGCACAUACAUGAGAAACAUACAGGAAUUGUAGGGAACAGUACCUUCAAAUAUGCUACUUCAGGGCUUCUAGCAUGCCGACUCAAGUGGUUAGACCAUUGCUGCAUUCCAUUGCAAAAGCUUUCUUUUGCUUUCCCUGAGACCAUUGUAGAUACACAAUACUCAUUAACAGAUAACCAAAUGAUUUUAAAAUAUUUUCUGUGCUCAAUCAUAGAAACCAAGCCCUCCCUUCUUUUGCUGCACAAUUUACUCAUCCUAAUGCAUGUGGAACUGUGCUAGUGUCAUAGCCAAAUGAUCUUCAGAGGCAGAACAAACAAUAAAAUACCCAUCCCACAAGAAUAAAAUGAAAUAUCAUGUUUAAUCAAUUAACUAAUACCCCUAUCAAAACCAAACAAAUUUGAGGUGUUAAAUGAUGGUUGAGAUUUAUCUAAGAAAAAAAAAGAACUUUGCUUGUAUUAUGAACCAAUGUAGCACAAAAGAUCUCAUCACAAAUGGAAUGAGAGAGACACAAGGGAAAAAAUAGAUUAAGAUAAUAUUUUUAGACAAGGCUGGAAGACUUAUUUUAUAGUACUAUUAAACAUAAACAAAGCUACUAUUAUGGCUAUUAGUUGUAUCGAUUAUUAAGUUUUUUUCAGGAAACUAUCCAUUAUUAAGUAGAAUAUCAACUACAACAACAACACCACUAUGCCUUUCAGCCUUAUUUCUAGCUAUAUAAUCAAUAGUACUGCUAGUCUAACAAUCAACAGUAAUGAUCAUGUUCGGUAGCUGAAGCCUACAUUGGUCUGCCCAAGUGAUUGUACAUAUUGCUGUAGAAUCAAAUAAGAAGGUCUGCAUAAUUUUUCCUUCAAAAUCAACUAUUUAACUCUAUUGAUGCAAUAUGUCACAGGCUUUACUUUAUAUGGAAGGUCGGAGGAAAAAGGCAAGGGAUAAAUAUGAAAGGUUAACAAAGUAGAGAGAAAGGGUGCAAAAGAAAGAAUAUUAUAUACCAUCAUAAGAAGGCAGAAGGACACAUAACCAAAGUUCCACUUACAGGCGGUAACAAAAGGAGGAAAAUCAAAAUUUUAAUCGCUCCUCUACGAAGCAAAAUGUUACACGUGCAUGCCGCACGUGCUUACCUUAUUUUGGGGAACACUCUUACCUUUAUUUUGGCUACUCGAGCCUUAUUUCGUCUCCUCCAACCCAUUGGCAGGGCCUACACACUCGAGCCUUAUUUGUCCUUACCCCCCCUUUUAUUGGGCCUUAUUAGGCUCGACUACCUUAUUAACUAUGGCACAAUCUGCCUUAUUUUGGCUACUCAAGCCUUAUUUGUCCUAGUCUAUGUAACGCGGUAAGAUUAAUAACCAAGGCAUCGGUAGCUCACUGGGGUCAGGUGGGGCCACCGUGAAGGCAGGCCCAGCGUACACUUUCUCCUUCUCCUCCUCCACCACCACCUCCUUCUUCUCCUCCUCCUCCUUCUCCAUCCUAGCUCGCUUUCGAGCAUCCCAACGCUCAUCAGAGCUACUGCCACUAGCUGCAGCAGCUGGUGAGCGGGUGGUGAGACUCUUUCUAGAGUCCCAGCGUGCAUCCGAGGGAGACCCACUCCCUGGUGAGCGGGUGAACCCCCAGCGUGGCCUCUUUCCUGGUCCCACGGAACCAGGACAAGGUCCAAGCAGCGCCAUUUUUUUGACAAGAGAGCGUUCGCAGAAGAGAGAGUUGGGGAGAGAGAGAGAGAGAGUUUAGGCGGGGGGGCUGCUGUUGAAUGCGCAAAGCACGGCUUCGCAGGAUUCAAUAGCAAAGAUCGGGUGUCUCUUCUCUAAGAAGAGACAUCCCGGUAAUCAAUCCAAAGCCUUUAAGCAACUCGUUAAACCCUUGGAUAGGCGAGGUGGGACUAACCUCGCGGGAGCUUGCGGCGGCCGCCGUCGCGCCCUCUUUCCGCCUCCCCGCCCCGCGCGCCCCCGCGGCCUCCGAACGCGCCAUCCGAGGGCUGAAUCGACCGCGCUGGCGAACUCUGGUGCGGUGCGGAUACAGGCGCGGAGGCCGGCGCUGGCGGCGUCCUGCUGUGUCCGGCGUGGGCGAUGGCCCUAGAUCGACGCGGUGUAGAUACGGGCGCGGAGGCCGGCGACGCACGAGAAACAGGAGAGAGAGAAAAAAAAAAGAGGGGGGAUUGCAGGCGGGUGCCGCUAGGUACCCGUUCCUUUCUCCACGCUGUGCCAACUCUGAUUGGGCCGAGGCUGGGCCGAACUGCUAAUUGGGCUGAGGCGCUUCCUCUCCGCCUUUUUUUUUUAAUUCAGGUGGUUUCGAGUUCGUCGGUGGGAGAGAACUGUCCGCCGGCACAGUGUCUGCACGGCGGCGCCAUGGCUGGAGCUCAUCGGACUUCGCCGAAACGGCGGAUCCGGGCUCGGAACUCGACGGGAAGGGCACGGGAGGAUGUAGAAGCUCACCAUGAACUCACCAGGGCUUGUAGCGGUCGGAGAGGUCUCGGUCGUGGCGUGCAGCUCGACAGGAGGCUCCGGUCUUCCUGCGAAGAACCGGCGGCGAUGAGCAACAAGUAGAGAGAGAGAGAGAGGAAGAAAGAGAGAGCGACGCUUAUGGCUUCCUCACGGCAAGGUGGAGCUCGGCGGACGGUUUUGGAGACCCGUGCGGUUGCGUUGGGCGUCAAUGGCGGCGGCGGGCACACUCUGCUUCGGCGAGAUCCAAACUGCGGGGCUACCUAGGGCGAGCAGGGCGGUGUAGAUCAAAGGGGCGAGGUCGGGCGUGGUGUCGGUCUUCUUACAGGGGCAGGCACCAGGCGUGAAGACUACGCAGUAUCCCGGAUCAAUCGGAGCUAGGCGGUGGCAAAUCCUUGAACGGAGUCCGUCUUCUUCACGGCGCGAGGUAGGUGAUGCGUCUGACAAGUGGGGCCCACGGUUCAGCGACAGCAUGUGCGGGCCGGCCUGGCAGAGAGAGCACGCGGGGCGCGGGUGAGCCGUGAGCACACUCCCGCUGAGGCGGCGGCCUUGUGGGUUGACAGCCCAUCUCGGCUUGACAGCCCAGCACACUCCCAGCAGUUUGAGCUCUACUGUAGGGAAUUAUUAUAUUACUAGUAAAUAUGCGUUGCGAAGGGAGGAAAUAAAUGUUCAAUUUGUUUGCUUUAGCUUGUUGCACAGCUGCAGUGGCUGCAAUAGCUCAAUCUUAAUACGUGACUUGAUGUUGUGAAUGGUUGCUGCAACAAUUACAAACGGACGGGUAGAAAAAAGAUGCCAAUGUUAAAUGUUUAUGUAUUAUUUUUUUUAAAAUUUAAAGAUAUAUUUUAUUAUAUGAUCAGUGUAUCCAUACAAUAGUAUAAGUUAAUAUGGGAAAUGAUAUGUCAAUGUUGUAUUAAUUAUGUAUUGAAUCAAAUUAAACCUAGAUAUGAUUUUUUUGGUCGUGGGGCACUAAAAUUUUGGUUGUAAAAUACUAUCAUGUGUUCACUAAGUUAGAUAUGAAAGUUCAAUGACUUAUUUUAAGAAUCUAUAAAAAUAUGUGACUUUAAUAUCUUAUUAAAUUUGGCAUGGGUUGGUCGUCAACAUGUUUAAAUUUUCACAUGUUAGCACUUGUCGAGAGUUGCACUGGUAUAUACGAAUAAUUGAAAGAUUUGCAUUGAUAUAUGCAGAUAACUUAGAGAUAAUUUAAUUCGGCAUGGGUUGCCGUUGGUCGUCAACGUGUUUAAAUUUUCACAUGUUAGCACUUGUGGAUAGUUGCACUAAUAUAUACGAAUAAUUGAAAGAUUUGCAUUGAUAUAUGCAGAUAACUUGGAGAAAAAUUAUUUUGAUUAGAUUAAAUAAAAAUUUGUUUAAUAGUUUAGUUUAUGAUUUAAUUGGUUAGACCAUUGACUGUUUCAUCAUAUUAUAGUAAUAAUUUAUAGAUUGUUUUUAUUUAAAAUUAAUAAUUUAGUAAUAGAAAUAUUUAUUUAUUAAGGGUUAGAGUUUUAAACAUAAUAUUGUAUUUAUUUUUACCUUUAUAUUAAUAUUAAAAACAUAAUACUUUAUUAGAAUGAAAAAAACAAAAUAAAAUCAUGAAAGAGGCAAUCACAGACAUCACCGUGUAUGAGCGGAGGUGAGGGAAGUUGCAGUCCAAUCUGUGUGUUUGGCUUUAUUUGUUUAGAAUAUUUCUAUUCUUGGCUUGAGUUAGUCACAUAGUUUUUUCCUUAUUAGUCCAUCACAUAAAGGCGUCUAAGUUGGACUUUACAACUGAGGAGUUUAAAGAAACCGUAAUUUAAUAGUUGAGCCGUGGAGCUAGGAUAAAUAAGGAAAAAACCAUAUCAUCUCACAUAACUUAACAUGGCGUGAUGGUUACAAAGUGCUAGUACCUAAAGGCCAUGGUUUGAAUCCCAGCCGUGGCUGAUUAUUUUUACUCUAUUUCUUGUCAUUAAACUAGAUUAGAGCAUCUCCAACAGUUAUGUAAUUGGACUAUACAUUCUAGAAAUUUGCUAUAAACCUUAAAAAUUGCUCUCCAACAGUUAUGGAUUUGACUUAUGCAUUUUGACAAACUUGGCAUUUGAUGGAACAAACUUGACAUUUUUGCAUAGGCAUAAUGGCUUCGUGAUUUUGAUAUCCCGAGUUUCCUAGACUUCUUGUCGUGCGUGACCUCCCCACGCGCUGCGGUAGUUUCCCACGAGGACUCCUCCCCGCGCGAACUUUUCUUUCCCCCGUGCCGCCGCCUCCUUUCUUCACGCCGCCUCUUUUCUUUCCCCGCGCGCAACUAGGAGAUAUGAUCCAUCGCCGCAUCCUCUCCUUCCUUCACGCGACACGAGGCUAUUAGGAGAGAUCCAUCGCCGCCUCCUCUCCUUCCUUCACGCGACGCGACGCAGGUAUGGUUGAGGUACUCCCUACGAUCCAGUCUUUUGUAUGCGGUUUGGAUUACAAUCUUUGGCCGGCUUGGAGUAGAAGAUGGCCGGUUGGGAGGAUGUUCUGGCCAUCUGGUUCAAGUACAUAUUGUAGAGGUCAUUGAUUUGGCGCUUGAUAGAUACAUGUCCUUGGCGAUUGAUACAUACGUGAACUCUGCGACCUGCGACUUCGUGGACUACUGGCGCGCGACGGAACUCUGGCGAACUGCGACUUCGUGGAUUGGCGGACCGGGAGGCUGCGAUUCACAGAAACGGCAGUGACUUGCGACUUCGUGGACUGGCAGCGACGAGCGACGGAAAUUCCUGCGCAGAGGAAAAAUCUCGCGCGAAGCGCGCCAAACAAAAAAAGAUCCCAGACAAAAAUAGUUGGGUCCACUAUUUUGGGAAAUGCCAAGUCAAAAAUGCCAAACACUUGGAGAUGGACUUAUUUUUCCGUUGACAAAACGUUUAGAGAUUUGGCAAAUUCCAAUAAAUGGCAACUUCCAAUUGCAUAACUGUUGGAGAUGCUCAGACUGACUAGAGAGAGCAUAGCAUGGAGUGAGCAAGUGUGAGACAGUUAGGCUAAAAGAAUGGACCAGACCAAAAUUAGGGGGGGGUGAGAAACUUACCUUUUUAUUAUUAGGUAUAGAUAUAGAUUAAACUUGGAUACAUCCUAUAACAAUUAACAAGCAUAGUUAACUUGGUGAAAACUAGAUUAGACUGACUGGAGAGAGCAUAGCGUGGAGUGAGUAAAUGUGAGACAGUUAGGUCAAAAGAAUGAGCCAAUCCAAAAUUAAGGAGUGAGAAAUUUUAUAUUUUUAUUAUUAGGUAAAGAUAUAGAUUAAACUUGAAUACCGUCCUACGACAAUUAACAAGCAUAGUUAACUUGGAAAUUGGCACGUGCGGUGAGAUGUACUGAUCCUUUUGUAACAGUGUUUAUUUGUGUUUGUGUACAUUCCAACAAAGCGAAUUCAAUGUAUGUUCGUACAGCUUAUUGGUGCCAACCUUAACCAGAGAGAUUUCCUACAGAGACAACAAGUCUGUUCGCUUGUUUGAAAACUUAUGGUUAAAAGUACUAUUUGUUGAUUUGCUGUGAGACAAAAAUAUUGUUGAAUUUGAGAGAUAAGCUCAAUCAAACAGUUCUACAUUGAAUCGAUUGCUUCACUGCUGGCUUUCCAUCGCAGUUUAUGCACUCCACGCUAGCUAGUGGUUAAGUUCGGUGCAUUGGAACUGGAGAACUGGCCACUCAAUGCAAGGAUAUGUUCCUAGCUUGAAUUCAGUCAAUGCUGUUCUUCCAUUCCCUGUGGCGUGAGCGUGACGAAGACAGACCGCCAAAUGGAACGGGUAUCCACCCCUCACGGCCCUUCUGUAGUGCUGCACCGAUGAGUCGUGUAAUAGGUAGAAGAGAUUUAAGCUUUAGAAAAAAUGGCUCUUCUUUAGGUGGUCCUUUUUUAAAACUUAUUAUCUCUAUAACCCUAAAAUAAACUUUCAGUAUUUAUAUGGCCUUUCGUCCAUUUUUAACAGUUGACAGUGUUAACUGGAGGGUAAAAAACCUGUUUUGCCUCUAGUGUAAAAAAAUUAAAGAGUUUUAUUUGUUUCUUGCAUAUUUGGAGUAAUAUUAAACAAAUAAAUUCACACAUAAUAGUAGGGCAUAUUUAGACAUCAUAAUAGUACAUAACAGUACAUAGUUUUUUUUAGGGAAACAGGAGGGGCUCAGCCCCUACUGGAAUUUUAUUAGAACUUUGCGAAAAAAAAGGAGAAGCUCCGUGUACAACCAUUAAGGCACAAAAAAAGAAACAAAAAAAAUAAGUAAGAUUACACAAAACUGUCUAGCCAUAAAUCUAUUGAGGGGUGAUAACGUGCUUUUGCUCUUAGAAUAACUAGAGCAAACUCCUUCCGAAAGACUGCUUUGCAACGUUGAAUUGUAUGCGCCAUAUUUCUGAAGAUAAUGUCAUUUCUCAUCAUCCAGAUUGACCAACACAUAGUAAUGAUGAUCUCCAUAAAAAAAGAACUCCCAUUUGAGUCCUAAGACUUUCCAAGAUGGUUGUGAUGUCAUCCGAGUUUGGUAUGAAAACUUGCAAACUAGCAGGCCAUCGCAAAGGGGCGGUGAAAGAGAAGAUGCAGCAGAUCUUCUUCCAGGUUGAGAGAACAGCAGACACAAUUGUAGUCUUCAAGAAACAUCCUUUUUCUUCUAAGUAGUGCUCUAGUGCUCAAUCUGUCACAUAGUACUAACUAGAAGAAAAAUUUCCUUUUGUUCUGACAGCAGGAAAUCCACAUCCAUCUGAAAGAAGGAUGAAUCUGACUAUGCCCAACAAUAUGUUUGUACACCUGCUUGGAAGAGAAGUGAGUAGAGCCCCAGCAGUAGGACCAAACAUCAUUGUCCUGACUAAGUUGCAAGCUAUGCAGAUCACUAGAAAGGUCUUGAAAUUGCUGAAAAGCCUCUACCGACAGAGGUAGGUGGAAAAGGUCCUCAAGAGAGGUGGUCAAGACAGCAGUGCUUAGGGUGAUCUGUUGAGAUUUAGCAUAAGAAAAGAGUUCAGGGUAUCUUUGAUCGAACUGAAUCCCAUUCCAAUUAUCAAGCCACAGGAGGCAGGUAGAGCCAUUCUGAAUAUGAAUCGAAGCCAUCUCUUUGUAGGAAUUCAGUAGUUUUAAAAUGUCUCUCCACCAAAAGGAGCCUCUGAAAUGUCUUUGGCGAGAAGACAAGUUAUUCCUGGAGUAAUAGUGUUCCCAGACCAACUGAACCCAAGGAAUUGCCAGCUUAUUGAAGAAUUUAUGCAAAAACUUCAUGAGUAAACUUUCAUUGUGAAUUUGGAGAUCAAGCACUCCAAGACCCCCUUCAAUUUUUGGUUUACACACUAAGGGCCAGGCAGCUUUUGAAGGCUUCUUACUAUUUAAGUUUGACCCUCUCCAAAGGCAGUGUUUCCUAAAUUUAUCAAUCUGCUUAAGAACCGUCUUGGGAAUCAGAAAGGUACACAUAGCAAAAGUUGGUAGGGCAGUAAGAACAACAUUUGUUAACUGCAGUCUGCCAGCUUCAGAGAGCAGAGAAGAAAAAUUUACUAGUCUCCUUUCACAUUUGGAAACAAGGGGCCAGAAAUGAGCAACCGAAGGCUUGGCAAUACUAAGCGGCAGACCCAGAUAGGUGAAAGGUAAAGAUUGUUUACUACAACCAAAGACCACUGUCAGGGUAUCCAACCGGUUGUUGGGUAUUCUUAACAUCACUACCAAAAGUAGACAGUUUUCUAAUUCUAGUAACGGUGCCAAAAAUGCCAAACCUAUCCCUCAUACCACUUAAGCCAAGUUGUCAUCCCCAGCAUGACAUGAGAGACGCGGUAUUGAAAUAUACAAUUGCUCAUCUAAAUAAAUAAUGAAUGAGAUCUGCAAGCGCACAGAUUAAUACUGAUGUAGCAUUUUAACCAGAAAGUGUUCCAGGUAUCGUUAUUUAUAUUUUUACCACUGGGAAGGGAUUAGCAGCCAUCAAUAUUGAUUAUAGAAUAGAAUAUGAGAUUGAGUAUCUAUCAUUGCAUGUAUAAUUGAGAACAUUUAUCUAACUCUUUCAUACAGGGAUAAGUGUCACAUAAAAGAUAUAUGAAGUAAUGAAUAGUGACAAAGAUAAUUAAUCUGAUCAGCAUAACUAGCCACAUAUAAAUAUGAUAAGCACCUCAAUUAGAUAUUCUAGCAAGUCAUUAGCAUGGUAUUAGAACGAACUACAAGAAUAUUCCCUAAGUUAUUCUUAACUAUAUAGUCUAGCAUUAUCAUAGUUAGUGCAAUUAUACUUAGCAAUCAUUGCGAGAAAAGACUACGCCCAUGCAUAGUGAUAUUAGCAAGGAAUAUGAGAAACAUAGCAAUCACUCCCCUGUAAUAAUGUUGCUCUGCCAGCCCAAUACACGAGAGGGGGACUAUAUAAGAAUCAAUGAAGCUGUCACUAUCACGAACUACCCCACUGUGGGGGUAUAAACCCCUAUACCCUUACGGCUAGACUUGGGCCAGGAGGCUUGGCCCAUUACGAGGCAAGUUCGAGGCUUGAUCCGACAGCUCGGAGUUUCGCGCAAGGAAACAAGACGUGGAGAUCAAGCAGGAUUCUAGUCGGUUAGAAUAGGAAUUGAUAUCGAACUAUCUAUGGCAAUUGUAACCAACUAGGAUUAGUUUCCAGAUCUGUAACCCUGCCCUCCAGACUAUAUAAGGAGGGGCAAGGGACCCCCCUAAGACACAUUAUUCUCAAUCCAAUACAAUCAGACGCAGGACGUAGGUAUUAUGCCCACACGACGGCCGAACCUGGAUAAAAAGCUUGUCCGUGUCUUGCGUCACCAUUGAGUUCGUAGUUUGCGCACCGUCUACCGAUAAACUACUACCGUGGGUAUACCCCAAGGUAGACUGCCGACUAGCUUUCGUCGACAGUGGCGUGCCAGGUAGGGGGUGUGCAUACAGCUUUUCCAGCGAACAAGAUGGUCAUCGUUCCAGCUUCCGCGGCCGUGCCUGAAGGCCUCACGUUCACCGUCGGUCAGAUUACGUGGACAACCCGCGGCGGUGGCCCCACGGUCACGGUUUCGGAAGAAACCCGGAUCCGAUCUGGGAUGACGGCGGCAUCGGCUCCGACCACGUGGAUACCGGCACCGAGCACCCGACCACCACUUCCGCGCUACAGGGAAAAGAAGAUCGAUGGCUCGGACCUUUUCCGAGCUCUUGAUCACGCCGAUCUCAAGCUUCUCGAAGCUUCCCGACUAAUAGAUGGGAUCUCGCGCCAGCCUGACCAAGCCGCGCCAAUGGAUUUUCACAACUCCCACCGGCCAACUCGUGUCGUCACACACGAACAGCUGGGAACGUCUCUGACGAUAACCUCCACCCCCUCAGGACGGUCCGUCAAACUCGAGGCUGGUCCAGAUCAAGGCUCUCCUUACGGGCUGAAAAAUUCAGCCGUUCACUACUCACGGCACAUCCAAUCCCUCUUCAACGGCGCUGGUUGGUUGCCAAAGCGGAGCAAUCGACCAGCUCGUCACUACGUCAACAUGGUGACGAUCCGAGAGCUACGGGACGGCCAGGCUUCCAGCACAAACUCUAGCACCGGCUCCGUUCCUACUGAAGUCAUAAACUCCGAGGACGAAGACUACGACCUGGAUUUACCACCAUAUCCUCCGGGUUUCCCUCGCUUCCCGGUCUUUCCACCUCGGCGUGGAGACCUCGUCCUCAAUGUUUGCGGCGAUGAGCCGGUCGUUGAUGGAGAGACAGACGAGCAGAAGCAGCUCCGUGAGCAGCGCAACGCCGACCGCGCCCGACGAUGUGCGGACGAGGAACGACAACUCCUGCCGCAUAACCUCACCGACGCCUUUGACAUGGUUGGGGAUCAGCAAGUCUACAAAACGCCAAGUGCCAACGUGGCUGUCGCCAUGGCCAACUUAGAUCGACUCCCUGACACUCCCGAGUGCCAGGGUGUCCGGUCCAGCGUGCGCGCGCACCUGAUCGCCGCGAUGGGACAGACAGCCACUCUGCUCAAAAGAGUCCAAGCUAUCUCCUAUGCAGAGGUCUCCUCCGACCAGACCCAUCGCAGCCGGACCUCACCACAACCCAGCGACCACCACCGCAGCCGUUCCCCCAACGAUCAUCGAAAAGAUUCACGGCGUGACAAUGGCGGUCGGGACGCUGGCGGCUACCGCGAGCAGAAUAGCAGGCGUGGUCAGGAAGUAAACCAGCACAGGGAUCUCCAAUACAAUAUCCCUCCCAAAGACGCCCGGGACCGCAUCAACAGGCGCGCCACGGAGAGAGCAGUUCACGAAAACCUGCGUCGCAUUGAGUACGAUGCAACGCACGGUCCCCCGGGCCUGAGACAGUUCUCCUCACACCUCCGCCAGGUCGUGUGGCCCCGCAAUUUCAAGCUCGAGAAACUCAAAAAAUACGACGACAAGGAAAACCCAGAAAACUAGAUCACUCUUUAUGAGAUCGCCGUCCAAUCAGCAGCAGGAGAUGAGCACGUCAUGGCCAACUACUUGCCAGUAGUCCUCGACCAGGCUGGUCACCAGUGGCUCCUAGGCCUGCCUGAGGACUCUUUCGAUUCUUGGGAAGAACUAUGCCAAGCUUUCAUCGACAAUUUCAUCGCCACCUGCAAAUAGCUUGGGAACAAGUACGACCUCGAAAGGAUAAGGGACAGGAAAAACGAGCCUCUGCGUGAUUACAUCCGACGAUUCUCGGAUAUGCACCUUAAGAUCCCGAAAAUUUCCCACGACGAGGCCAUAUCUGCUUUCAUCAAGGGGCUGCGCUUCCAUGAAGCAUUGAGGAACAAGCUGCUGCGCAAAAGACCAACAACGAUGGCCGAGCUUCUUGCCAUGGCUAAAAACUACGCCGACGCCGACGACGCAGAAAAACUCAUCCGGAACGAUGCGAGAGGUCCCGACCAGCCCCCUCGACGAGAUGACAGUCGAGGUCGUUUCGACAACAGGAACCAUCGUCGCCCCGACAAUCGGGACCACAGAGAAGGCUGGGACAGGCGGCGUGACAAACGCGAUGACUUCAGAAGCAAGCGCCCUCGUGACCACGACCACGAGGUGAAUAUGGUCAAGCGUCCCAAUGGGCGGCGAGACUACCAGGAAGACUACAACAAGACGUUGAAGGGACCAUGCCAGCUGCACCCAAAGUCCAACCACACGAUGGAGGAAUGUCGCGUCCUAAAAAGCAUCUACACACGGUGGGCUGCUCAAGACAACACAGCCAAGAAAAAUGGGAAACAGGACGGGCACGAUCAUGAAGACGAGGACGAGGACCAGGAUAGGGACCCACGACACCAGUAUGUCAGUCCCACCGAUGUGGUCCACUCCAUCUUUGGGGGCAAGGUCUCCACCGAGUCUAAGCGAGAAAGAAAACUCUUAAAAAGAGCCUGCCUCAAUAUAGACACCACGGAUGGCCUAAUCGCUGACCCGAAAUUCCCUCCCUGGUCGCACAGGGAAAUCUCCUUCAGCAGGAAGGACCAGUGGGCCACCAUCCCGAAACCAGGACGUUUCCCUCUAAUACUGGAUCCUUGCAUCAACAGCAUCAGAUUCGAGCGCGUGCUCGUCGACGGAGGAAGCUCCAUUGAUAUCCUUUUUCGCAACAGCUUGCCUGCUCUCAAGAUAACCUCAGCACAGCUAAAGCCCUAUGACGCUCAAUUCUGGGGAGUCUUGCCAGGUCAAAGUUUAGUGCCCCUCGGACAAAUAACACUGCCUGUCCAAUUCAGCACAUCCGACCACUUUCGAACAGAGUUCGUCAACUUUGUGGUCGCCGACUUCGAAGGAACCUACCACGCCAUACUGGGCCGACCAUCGCUGACAAAGUUCUCGGCAGUUCCACAUUACUCAUAUCUGGUCCUCAAAAUGCCUACAGAGAAGGGCGUCCUAACUGUCAGAGGCAAUGUCUACACUGCAUAUACUUGCGAGGAGGAGAGCUUCAAGAUCACUGAAGCAAUUGAUCUUUCAAUUCGCAUGGCAGAAACAGCAACCCAAGCCGCACAGCUCCCUCCCGACCAGCUCCGACUACCCGAGCAGGAGACCGCCAGGUAGAAUUCAAAAUCCAAGGAGUACAAGGAAGUACAGCUGGUCGAAGGCAGCCCCGAGAAGACGGCCCUCAUCGGGGCCAACCUGGACCCUAAAUAGGAAGACGCGCUCGUCAGGUGUCUAAGGGACAACGUGAGCGUUUUCGCAUGGAAACCUGCAGACAUGCCCGGCGUCCCACGAAACCUGAUCGAGCACUCCUUAAAUGUCUCGAAGACCGCAAGACCCAUCAAGCAAAAGCUGCGACGGUUCGCUCGUGACAAAAAGGAGGCUAUUAGGACAGAAAUAACACGGCUUCUAGCAGCCGGAUUCAUAAAAGAAGUGUAUCAUCCCGAUUGGCUCGCCAAUCCGGUUCUUGUACACAAAAAGAAUAAUGAAUGGAGAAUGUGCGUUGAUUACACUGAUCUCAAUAAACACUGUCCUAAAGAUCCUUUUGGUCUCCCUCGCAUCGACGAGGUGGUCGACUCAACAGCCGGAUGCGAACUCCUCUCUUUUCUAGACUGCUACUCUGGUUACCACCAGAUCUCGCUAAAGGAAGAUGAUCAGAUCAAAACGUCUUUCAUUACUACUUUCGGCGCAUACUGCUACACGACCAUGUCCUUUGGACUCAAAAACGCCGGAGCCACCUAUCAACGGGCCAUCCAGCAAUGCCUCCACGACGAGAUUCGUGAUGACCUCGUCGAGGCUUAUGUAGACGACGUCGUUGUCAAAACAAGGGACGCAAGCACCCUAAUAGACAACUUAGACCGAACCUUUAAGGCACUAAACAAGUACAAAUGGAAGCUUAACCCCAAAAAGUGUAUCUUUGGGGGUACCUUCUGGUCUACUGCUCGGCAACGUCGUCAGCCGCGAUGGCAUACGACCAAAUCCUUCAAAAGUAAAAGCAGUGCUCGACAUGCGACCACCUAAGAACGUCAAGGAUAUUCAAAAGCUCACCGGAUGUAUGACCGCCCUCAGCCGCUUCAUCUCAAGACUAGGAGAAAAAGUCCUUCCCUUCUUCAAACUCUUGAAGGCGUCGGAAAAAUUCUCCUGGACAGAGGAAGCUGACGCUGCGUUCACCCAGCUCAAGACUUUCCUCACCUCACCGCCUGUUCUCACAGCGCCUCAGCCCAAUGAAGACCUACUCCUUUACAUUGCAGCAACUGACAGGGUCAUCUCCACGACAAUAGUGGUCGAGCGAGACGAGCCAGGCCACGUCUACAAGGUCCAGAGACCCGUUUAUUUCAUAAGCGAAGUCUUAAAUGAGUCCAAGGCCAGAUACCCACAAAUACAGAAGCUCAUAUACGCCAUUCUAAUAACGUCGAGGAAGCUAAAGCACUACUUCGACGGCCAUCGGGUCUUGGUAACCACCAGUUUCCCUCUUGGGGAUAUUCUGCGCAAUAAAGACGCCAACGACAGAAUUGUAAAAUGGGCAAUGGAGUUAUGCCCAUUCUCCCUAGAUUUCCAGAGCCACACCACAGUCAAGUCUCAGGCCCUGGUCGAUUUCAUUGCAGAGUGGACGGAUCUUAACGAGCCUCCCGUUUCCGACGUCUCCGACCACUGGUCAAUGUUCUUCGACGGGUCCUUGAACAUCAACGGCGCCGGCGCUGGGAUACUUUUCGUGUCGCCUAACAAGGACAAACUGCGUUACGUCCUUAGGAUCCUUUUUUCGGCGUCAAACAACGUCGCUGAGUACGAAGCAUGCUUACAUGGCAUACGACUAGCCGUUGAGUUGGGAGUCAAACGCCUCUACGUCCAUGGCGACUCCGCUUUAGUUAUCAACUAGCUCAACAAGGAAUGGGACGCAACCCACGAGAAGAUGGAUCUCUACUGCAAAGAAAUCCGCAAAUGGGAAUCCAUCUUCUAUGGCAUAGAGUACAUCCACGUGGUCCGGGAUAAGAACCAGGCAGCGGAUGCGCUGUCAAAGUUAGGGUCAUCUCGGGCCCAGAUCCCGCGAGGUGUUUUUGUCCAGGACAUCCAUGAGCCAAGUGUGGGCACAGACCCGGUCGAAAAGCUACCUAUUGAGGCAAUGCUCAUAGACGACGCUACUCCGACAACCAGCAUCCGUGAUUGGCGCACCCCGUUCAUCAGGUAUAUAUCGAAUGGGUCAGGCUUUUAGGAUAAAACGGAGAACGAGCGCCUCAUUCGACGAUCAAAGAAUUACAUACUGGUGGACGGCAAACUUAUGCGAAAAAUGCAAGUUCUGAAGUGCUGCUCAAAUGCAUAUCCCAAGAUGAUGGCAUCAAGCUCCUAGACGACAUACACGCCGGAUCUUGCGGCAACCACGCAGCCUCCAAAACACUGGUCGGGAAGGCUUUCCGAGCAGGUUUUUACUGGCCAACCGCGGUCACCGACGUAGAAAAACUGGUCCGACAUUGCGAAGGAUGCCAGUUCUUCGCCUAAAGGACCCACAUACCUGCUCAUGAGAUUCAAACUAUUCUGUCAUCCUGGCCUUUCGCCUGCUGGGGCCUCGACAUGAUCGGGCCAUUUAAACCAGCUCUCGACAACUUCAAGUUCGUCUUCGUGUUAAUCGACAAAUUCUCGAAAUGGAUCGAAUACAUGCCACUGGUCAAAGCAACCUCUGAGAAGGCUGUGGAGUUCCUCAAUCAAAUCAUAUACAAAUUCGAGAUCCCCAAUAGUAUAAUCACCGACCUGGGCACUCAGUUCACUGGCACUACAUUCUGGGACUUCUGCGAUGACAGACGCAUAGUCAUAAAAUACGUGUCAGUAGCUCACCCACGAGCAAACGGUCAAGUCGAACGCGCGAAUGGAAUGAUCAUUGAUGCCCUAAAGAAAAGGUUGUACACCGAGAACGACAGAGCGCCUGGUCGAUGGAUGAAAGAAUUGUCGGCCGUGGUCUGGGGUCUCCAAACACAGGCCAGUCGCAAUACAGGUGUAUCACCCUACUUCAUGGUUUAUGGCUCCGAGGCAGUACUUCCGUCUGAUAUAACCUUCAGAUCUCCAAGAGUUGAAAACUUCGACCAAUCAACGGCUGACAACGCCAGGGAGCUCGAAAUCAACUGCAUGGAGGAAAAGCGUCUAAUUUCAUGUCUUCGAACAGCAAAGUAUCUCGAAGCCAUCAGGCGGUAUCACAAUAGGAACGUCAAAGACCGUUCUUUUGUGGUCGGUGACCUGGUACUCAAGUGGAAAACAAGCCAGGAAGGAACGCACAAGUUAUCCACGCCUUGGGAAGGACCCUUUGUGGUCGCCGAAGUCACACGCCCUACAUCCUACAGACUGGCGUAUCCAGAUGGAACACGCGUGCCUAAUUCUUGGCACAUAGACAAACUGCGCCGUUUUUAUCCAUAAGUUCCAGUACCUUUUGCUUGUAAGUUUCUUAUAAUUAGCAAUAAUAAAAGUUUUUCUUUUUCUCUAUGUAUUGUUUACACGCAGAGCUUCCGACAAGUACAACAGUCUUCCUCUGCGCCAAAGAUUCUUAACGACUAUCAAUCAAACACAGUGAUACAUCACUCAGAUAACAUUACAAGCGCUCAAAAUCAUGGUCAUGACAAAAUCAAACUUUAUUACAAACUUUACAUAUAGAGUUUACAAUAAGCACCCCGACGGGCGGUUACUAGUCUACUCCUACAGACUAUCCCACAGGCCUACUGCUCGGGCUGAUCACCCGCCUGGCCUUGCUGCCCGGACGAAGGGGUCGGGGCCACCGGCGCCUGGCGGGUCGGGGCCACCGGCGUCGACCGCCCAUCUCCGGCAAUAGACGCCCCCGAUAACUCCCUGGCCGAUCUGUCUGACCCCGGCUGGUCGGGGGGAGUGGCCGUCCCGCAUAGAUUGAUGUCGCCGAUCACCGUCGACGACAAGUCUAGCAGGCCAGCUCGAAGGUCGUCCGCCUCCUGCGGGCCAACUUCCUUGGGGUACCCCCUCUCCAGCCUGGACCGGUCGACCAGGGAUAGUGGGCGCGCACCAUGCUGAGGACAUGCGCGCCGGCGAACUCCCCGGCGUCCUUAACGAACUGCUGGAGCCAAUCCCAUGCCCGUUGCGCCUUCUCGACCGGCGUCAGCCUCGGCGCGCGGGGCUGGUCUUCAGGAAGCUCGGGGCUGAUCAAGUCUAGAACCGGGGCUACUCCUUUCCAAAGCCUAAUGCAGUUAGUUUUCCAGGAGUCCCGAUCCUUGACCAGCUCAUCUAAAUGCUUUUUGGUAUUAACCUUGAGCACUACAAACCAAGCAGGAGGUCAGUUCAAGAACAAGGAAAGGAACGUUGAGCAACCAAAUAAAAAAAAGGGGGCGCGGCACGGCUAUUACCAGACAGCUCCUGAUUCCUGUGGCUUAGCUCCUCGCCUGCUCGCCGCCCGGCCUCUAGUGCCCCGGCAAGCUCUUGGCCGAGCUGCUCCUUAUCUUGCCGGAGGCGCGUGACCUCCUCCUCCAAGUCUACAGGAACAACCCCCUGGUCACCAAAAACUAACCACGCGGCUACAUACAGCUGCUCGGAGUAUGAGACUGACCUGACCGUUGCCGAUACUGGUCGGCUAAACGCCGAGUGAGCUCGAGACGACGCUCUUCCUGAGCACUCAUCUCGGCCACUUUCUCCCCCACCUCCGACCGAAGCCGGUCCACCUCCGCGGACAGGGCCUUGUUCUCGGCCACAAUGCCCUCUAUUUGGUCGAAGCACCUCUUUCGGUACUUCGCCGUUUUCAUCGCGCCCUGCAAGAAGAACACAUGUCGACCCAGGAACACAGCACAUAAGUGUCGAGCAGCACAAAGGACCACUUACCUUAACUUCGUCCACGAGACGCUUAGCCGCGCGCUCCACCCUGGCGGCCUCUUCCGUCUCCGCUAGCUCCUCGUGUCCAAUGAAGUGGUCCCCGCGUUGGCGCCACACGUAGACGUGCUGGCGGCCAUCAUGGGGACGACCUUCAAUUUCCUCCACGUCGUCGUCAGAAGCCGCCUGGGUCUCCUCGUUCGCCGCACUGCCACCGGCUGUGGUCGCAGGCAUCACCGGCCCCUGGUCCAGGCCAAGGGAGCCUGCAGGUGAUGAGGCCCCUGCCCGGGGCGGUGUGGGGACUCCCCUCUCUUCGACCGAGGGAGGAGUCGGGACCCUGUCUUCCUCCUCCACGAUGUUACUCGGGGGAGGGGUCCUCGUAGCCUCUUCAUCCCUCGUCGGGGCGCUUGCCGUGGUCUUUGCUGAGGCCGGAUGCUCUUCGGUGCUCUCGGCCACAAUUGUCGCCGCGGGCUGCUCCGUGGUCUGCGGCGCAGCGCCCACAGCGGCAGCAACGGGCUUGGCCACCCUCUGGCCAGCAACGCAGUCAAGAUCGACGUCCGACGCCGCACUAGCAAUACGACGACAUUUCAACAAUGUCAAAACGCAGCAACAAAACACAAAACAUCACAGCGCGAAAGUAAGAAUGCAAACUUACAGGUCAGGGCGUCGGUGUGUGGCGGUGAACCUCCUCCUGGUCCUACCGGUCGGUGCCUGCGCCUCCGUCUCUACGACGCGCGUCGGCUCGACGUGCGGUGCAGGUGGGUCACUGGUCACCCGACCAGUCGUGGCCGGCGCAACGUUCAGACGACUGCGAGGCCUCCGGACCAACGACGGCGCAGCAUCCUCCUCCUCCUCGUCGUCAUCGGUGAUUCGGACGAGCCGACGGCGCUUUGGCGCCUGGCUGCUCUCUGCCGGCAGCGUCGCCGCAGGGGAGGGAUCCGCUGCCAUUGGCCUUUUCCCCGCCACUCUGUCCUCGGUGGUUGGGGCGGGGUGGCUCUGUUCCUCUUCACUGCUGGUGUACCGAGUACACCGAGCAGCGUCGUCUUCUGGCGGGUCUUAACCCGUGGGGUUCUCCAUGCCAGGUGCCAGUGAUACAUACACUGUGGACCGGUCAACGUCUCCGAUCUGCAACAUUAACAGAGAAAAGUCAACAACCAUGAAGAACAAGGACUAAGGAGGUAACAUCAGUCAGUAGCAUUACCUUAGGAGCUAGUCGCCCCAGUUUGAAGGCUUGUACCCGAUCACUACCACGGACGAAACUGCCGUCUGCAAAGUUGAAUAGCUCGUUCAACAGUUGUUGCACUUCCGCUUUCUCCAAGACCUCAGGCCUCAUCCUGGUCGGGUCUUGGCUCCCAGCGUACUCGUACGCUGAGUGCACCCUCUUCUGGUAGGGCAUCACCCGACGACAGACGAAGUUGCCGACCACCCCUGGCCCGUCCAAACGCGACCAGUCGAUCAGCUUCAUCAGGUCCGCUACUUGACCGGCGAACUCUGGGCGGUCGGUCCAACUGACCCUCUUCUCGGGAAUGUACCCCACGUCGCAGAACGUGGAGCUGCCCGGCUCUUCCCUAAUGUAGAACCACUUCUUGUACUAUUCGGUGAGAGAAGUGUUCCAUGGGCAGUUUAGAUACCGGUUCUUCAUCCCGUCACGAAGAUUGAGGUAUAUUCCACCUGCAAUCUUGGAGCCUCCAACCACUCCCUUCUUCCUCAAAUAGAAAAGAUAACGGAAAAGAUCGAAGUGCAGCUCUAUUCCAACAUAGGCCUCGCACAGAUGGAUAAAAGUGGAAAUAAGGAGAAUUGAGUUCGGGUGCAGAUUGCAGAUCCCGAUCUCAUAGUACAGAAGAAGCCCCUGGAGAAAAGGAUGGACAGGAACCCCAAAACCCCUCUUGAUAAAAUCUUCGAAAACUACAAUCUCACCGGCACGGGGGUCGGGGUAGCUCUCCCCCUCUGGCGCCCUCCAGCCGCCGAGCUCUUGGUUGUGCAGUAGCCCCAUGUCGGCGAGGUCGUUGAGGGACUUCACGCUGCUCCGGGACUUUUUCCAUUCCUUAGCCAUCAGCUCGGUCCUCUUCUUGGAGUCGCUCUUCGCCAUUGACGUUGCGGGAGUGACUGCGAGUCGGGAGGAUUGAUGGUGGUUGUAGAAGGCAAGAACGGAAAGCUUGAAAGCGAUGGCAAGGUGACCAAUACGGGGGUACUGUCAGGCUUUUAUAAACCACAACUCCACCCCUCCCACUUCCCGCAUUCUUGGGAAGUGGGCGGGCCAAAAGGCGGACGCGGCGCUUCGGUUUUGAAUAAUUACCGGCAGUUAAUACGGCGGCCUUUUUGCAUAAUGGAUGGUUUCCUUUUGUCGAACCGCGCAAAGAGCGGCUGCACAGUUACCAGGCGCACCUUUUCAUGCAACCAUCUGACAGUGCGUCAGGAGGUCUCGUCACGUCACUCAUUUUUGUGGUAAGAUGCUUUUUUUUCAAAAUAACAGACGAAAAUUGGUGGAGGAUCAAUGUUACUAGGGACUGCGCCGACCACCGAGCACUGUAUGCUCGGGGACUGGUCGCCCAGUCCGUCAGCUCGGAUAUCUAGGGACUGCACCGACCACCGAGCACUGUAUGCUCGGGGACUGGUCGCCCAGUCUGCCAACUCGGGGAUCUGGGGGCCGCACCGACCAUCGAGCACAGUACGCUCGGGGACUGGUCGACCAGCCCGCCAGAUUGGAAGAAUUAGGGACUAUGCCAAUCAACAAGGCAUUAUCUGCUCGGGACUGAUUGAUAAGUCUAUCCGAUUGCAAACGAGCAUGAGAUGCUCGGGGACUGGAUAAUUUUAAUUUUUUAGACCUUGCUACAAGGCUUAUACUUCACCUUCCAGCAAGCUCGGGGACUACAUCGGUACGAUGCAUCUGGCGAUGCAUCUUGGUUUUAGACUUAUUCUGAGUACUUUUCUUCUGACCCUGGCACCACGUGUCUGCGCCACCUACUACCAGGCUCGGGGACUAAGUGGGCACACUUCACCUUGCGGUGAACAUGCUUGCUUUUUGAAAAUCUGCACUUUUCUGAAAAGUAAAGUGGGCACACUUCACCUGAAAAGAAAUCUUGUUUGAUUAAGAGCACCGUGCAUUCUUCGAACAACCUGCUUCUUCGAUGUCAGUGUUGAUCAACUGUCUUUUGAGUCGGUCAAAAUACCGUCACAACUGUUUCGGCGACUCUCCUGCCUAUUGAAGAUGUCAAAGUUUCACUGGUCGAAGAAGCUCAAGACGGCGUGUUACUUCACAAUACAUGGUGCUCGGGGACUAGCUGUGGGGGUAUAAACCCCUAUACCCUUACGGCUAGACUUGGGCUAGGAGGCUUGGCCCAUUACGAGGCAAGUUCGAGGCUUGAUCCGACAGCUCAUAGUUUCGCGCAAGGAAACAAGACGUGGAGAUCAAGCAGGAUUCUAGUCGGUUAGAAUAGGAAUUGAUAUCGAACUAUCUAUGGCAAUUGUAACCGACUAGGAUUAGUUUCCAGAUCUGUAACCCUGCAAGGUAGACUGCCGACAAGCUUUCGUCGACACCCACGAUCUGGCAUAUUGGGUACAAUCGCAGAUAAAUACGGUAUAAGCACCACGCUUACACAAUAUCUAUCAUUUACCCAUGGAUCCGAGGGAUAAACGCUAUACGGUCCUAAACAUGUAUAUAGAUCAAAUCUAACUAAGCCAAGUAUAUAACUAUGAUAAACUAAGAACAAUAUAAUUCGUAAUAUAAACAAGUAGAGCAAAGUCAUAAGCAAUAUAUUGAAGUAGAACAAAGUCAUAUUCAUAAUAUUGAAGAACAAAGAUGAACAAUUAGAAGAACAAUUAGAGAAUUACCAAGAAUCCUCUUGACAGAUCUAGAAACCAAUCGAAGAUUGACUCCUUCUAGUUCUAAUCCUAUGUAGCUAUGUUAAUCUAGAUGUCUAAUUGAUGUGGUGGCUCUAGGCUUGAUCAGAGGGUUCUUCUCCCUUGAGGAUUAAUGAAUUAGGGUUGAGAGGCUCUCUCCUCCAGGGGCCAGGGGGUCUGGUUUUAUAGUCCCUCCAAGUGAAUAUGGGCCGUUGGAUCAAACCGACAUUGAUUGAAAGGUUAUCCUUGAUCCUUUAGGUCGGUGGAGAUUGAUCCCGAAAGAGAGUCCUGUUUGGACUCAAGGAGGGGGCGGGCGCCCUGGUCACCUGGGCGGGCGCCCAGGGCCAGGCUCCGUUCGGCCUCCGCUUCCUUCCCAUGGCUUUUGGAGUCUUCUAGAUGUAAGAUAAUUGCACGACACGUUAAUAUCUCUAUGUAAUCCCGACGUGUGGGCCUUUCUUCCGUAUUUCCUGAUAACCCCCUGCAGAAAUAGACAAACACCAAAACUCGUGGAAUUCUGUCAGAUAAAACCCUAAGUCUAGAUGUUGGUUGCAUUUGGAUCCUUUUCUUUGUUUAUUUGAUAAUUAAAUUUGAUACUUAAGGACCGUCAACAAACUCCCCCAAGCUUACCUCUUGCUCGUCCCUGAGCAAGGAUAAUCUCAGCGAUGGAUCAUAAGUUGUUGCAAUAUCUUUAAAAAUUGAUGGUACACAUGCUUUUAAAUGAGGUCUCAUCUCUGAGUUAGAGUAAACUGUCAAGACUUAAAACUUACUCACUUUACCUUUCACCAUGGGACUUGUAACUGUCACUUCUGUCUUGAGUAGUUAAAAGAUAGAACAGUCUAGUCAAGUGCCAUGUCUCUUAUUCUUGAUCAGCUAUAGCUCUGGAGUUUUUGCAGAUUUUCAAAUAAAACUCAGAGAUUCCUUGUAUGACUCUCUCAGAUCUCUCUUUUGUGGUAUUUCUGGAUCCUUACCAAGGCAGUGAUGGUAUAUGCCUUCUCUCAAAAUAUGUAGUAUUUGUGGUAUACGGCAUAGUGAUAUUGCCUUCUCUCUUACCCUACUCUAAUAAGGCUUUAAUAUCUGGAGCUCAUAGGUGGGAGAUAAAGUAUACAUACUUACAAGACAUUUAUUGCAUAGUCAAACCAUGGAUCUAAAGAAACAAAUCAAUAAGUCAAAUCAAGAUGUGCAUGUGUGGCGAAUGAAUGGCGUAUGGUGAUGAUGGUGAUAAUUAUGGUGAAAGUCUAAUUCUACUGUUGCUCUUUUGAGGGGAUAUAUACCUUUCUUGCUUUUUGAAACUUUGUGAUGAGAAUGAGAUGCUCUGUAUUUUUCUUUUCUCUUAGGUGGGUAUCUUGUACCCCUAAUUCUAUUGUCGGACACUUGUCCAUUUUUACCUCUCGUCUCACUUUUUCUUUUUCUUUCGAGGUUCCAAGCACUUGCCCCUUUUUAUUUCCUCGUUUUUUUAGAGCACUCUUCUCUUGAGAUAAUAUAGCAAGUGAUAAUAACAAGAUAACUUGAGCAUUUAUUUCACAAGGGAAAAACAGAAAUAUUUUUGGCUAUUCUCUCCCGGAUUAGGAGUAGAAUAUUUUUGGGUGGUUCUGGAGAUGGAAAUAAGUGGAUAUAUGUGGAUGGUACUUCUGGAGUAGAAGCAGCAUAUGUGAGUGAACGUGCAAGUGAAUCUUGAUUUUAACCACAUGACAAGCUCUUAAGGGUCUAUACAGCUUGACCACACUCAAUGCUCAUAAGCAGUAAAAAGUAAAUGUGUGGCUCAAAGUCUAGCAAGCAUGUAUAUAUGGCUGUGGUAGGAAUUUAAACUCUCAUCAUACAGGAACUCAUCAUGUGAUAUUUUAUAGAUUUUAAAAGAUAAACUUCUCUAGAUUUUUAGCAUCUCUAGGAAUAGAUAAAUAGCAGCUCAACCUUCCCAUGUGAUAUCCGUUAACAACUUAGACUUCAGAUCAAGUUUUCUUCCCACAAGUUCAGGUUUAGAGCAAGCUUUAAAUUAUAACAGUUGUGUCUAAACUUGAGAGGAAACUCAAAUUUGAAAAAUUAGGUAGAGCAACUAUUCAUCAUAUCCAUGCUAGAGUUUUAUUAUUAAGAUUCAGAUUAGCAUAGCCACUUUAUUUAUUUAUUAAACUUGCCCGUCCCGCUCGACCUCCAUUGCCGUAGAGACGACUCGAUCGGUUGCUGCUAUGUAAAGGAGCAGGUCCUCGUUAGGUUGAGGCACCGUGAGGACGGGUGGUGAGGUGAGGAAAGUUUUGAGCUGGGUAAACGCAGCGUCAGCUUCCUCUGUCCAGGAGAAUUUUUCCGACGCCUUUAGAAGUUUGAAGAAGGGGAGGCCCUUUUCUCCCAGUCUAGAAAUAAACCGGCUGAGAGCAGCCAUACAUCCGGUGAGCUUUUGAAUAUCCUUGACAUUCUUGGGUGGUCGCAUAUUGAGCACUGCCUUUACUUUUGAAGGACUCGGUCGUAUGUCGUCGCGGCUGACGACGUUGCCGAGUAGUAGUCCAGAGGGGACCCCAAAGAUACAUUUUUUGGGGUUAAGUUUCCACUUGUAUUUAUUUAGCGCCUUAACGGUUCGGUCUAGGUUGUCGAUUAGAGUGCUCGCAUCCCUUGUUUUGACGACAACGUCGUCUACAUAAGCCUCGACGAGGUCGUCACGAAUCUCGUCGUGGAGGCAUUGCUUAAUAGCCCGUUGAUAAGUCGCUCUAGCAUUUUUAAGUCCGAAGGACAUGGUCGUGUAGCAAUACGCACCGAAAGGAGUUGUCGGUGUUUUCCCCCCGGGGGGUCACACCAACGAGUAAAUUUGUAUGUGUGUUCCCUUUUCCAGAUGGUGAUGCAAGAAGACACUGAGAUUUAUCCUGGUUCGGGCAAGAGAAGGCCCUACGUCCAGCGGGGGGGAGAGAGUUUUUAUUAUCUUGCACCUAAGUGCUUGUACAGGGGUGAAUACAAGCGCGGUAUGAAGUGUGGAGCACUACUACGUAUGAGCGUGGUGUUCGCUUGCCGUUCUAUUCCUGAGUCCCUCCUUUUAUAGUCCCAAGGAAAGACCCAGGGUACAUGUAUAGGCGUCAGAAUAGGAGUCGAUAGCAGCAUGGAGCGCUGACCUACUCGAGGCUUCCGUACCGGCGUGGCCUCGAGUCGUCUCGUCUUGGUAGCCUGGCGAUGAUUACGCGUGCUCUGUUAUCCUGCUCUGCGCCCCGUCUUGGAUUGGUUACCGGAUGUACGCUUGUACGACCCGACGGCAAAUCCGGCGGAGUGGUUGGGAUGUAGUCAGUCGACGCCCAACUCGUCCCCUGGAAGGAUCCCUGUCUUGGUCGAGGUUCGGAUGCCGUACAUUGUGCUGAUAUCCGGAGCGCUGACUUCAGAUGUCUCGAGGGGGUCCCGACUAGACGUUCCAUCCUCGUUUCCCGCGUUCUAACAUAUCCAGGGUCGUCUGGUGGGAAGACUGCAAAAAGAACGAUGGGACAGAUGCUUGUUCCCUUAUCACGCCUUCCGUGACCCAUGUGUUAGGUGGGGAAGCGUCAGGUGCAUUAAAUGCCCUAGCUCUCGUGCGCGCGUCAGGCGGCGGACAGUGUCCUUGCUCUCGACGCCUCUUGAUUCGCUCGGGACCGCUUCCGUAUUCGACGGCAGUUGGCGCUCGAGCCCUGAUCGAUUCGCUCGACGCUACUUCCGUCUUCGAGGCCGCGGCCGUCGACGGUUGCGCGUAUGUAUGGACGGAGCGUCGAAUCGAAGAUCUAGUCUUAUGUACGGAUGGUCUCGUUAUAUGUAUUGGUGAGGGUACCCCUUGUUGAUACCCUCGACAGUAGCCCCCGAGUCUCCAUUUGAGCGCUGGCGCUCGAGUGGAGACUUUUGUUUUUACAGUCGAGGUUCCGUGGGGGCGCGCGAGCGACCCCGCAGGGGUAGCCCCCGAGCCCUCGAGGGAGUAUUUAACUCCUUCGAGGGUUACUUUGCUUAAUUUGCAGAGACACUGUCGACACCAGUGGUGGAAGGUUCUGAUCGGCUUUGCCUUGCGAGGAGGUUUCAACGUACUCUCGAUAGAGCGAGCGUCUUCCACUCCAGAUCGAGUUCCUAGCGGGCAGUCCAAGUGAGAACCUGUGCCCCUUUCGAGGGGGUCAGCUGUAGCCCGGAGGCGUUCUCGUAAAGCUGGGUCGACGUAGUCGGGGAUACCGGUCUCAUUCGAUAGAGUCCAGCGGCUCGAUGCCUCCCGUCGGGGGGAUUCCUCUCGACUGUCUCGACCCUGCCUUGGACAUCGCCAGCGAGUUUUCGAGGCAGGCCUCGAUCUUCGACCGCUCGCUGGAGAUCCCUGACUCUGGUGCUCGAGAUCGGCUGUCGAACCCUUUCGGCGGGCCAGCCAUCGACCUCUCGAGACUCUCGCGGGUACGCUUGGCUUACAAGGGAAGGAAGUGGCCACGACGGUUCACCUUUCUGCCCGUUGGGCGCGUCUUUUUAGGCGGGUGACGUUACUACACUGUAUCGGCGUGGAAUUCGGAACGCCCGGCCUGUGAAGGGGGAAAGACUGUUAGGUAGCGCAUUAAUGGGGGGACGUUACCUCAUUUCCCGGAUCUGUCCGUUGGCGGAUUGCGGCCUAUAAAUACGUCGUGGCGCCGUCGCCGUUCCUCUUCCUUCCGCCUUCUCACUUCCAUUCUCUCAUUGUCUUUGCCUUCUCGCUGCCUUAGCUCUCUCGCCGUCUUACGCGCACACGCCUCCUCGUGCAGUAGCGGAUCCACCGCCUCUCCGGUCAAGAUGCCUGUAAGACUCAUCGCCGCCGACGACUGGCGCCCGUCGUCGGUGACGGAGCGCCGGUUGUUAGAGCUUGAGAAAGAGGGAUUGCUGCGCCACCGUACCUCACUAUCGUCGCCGGAGUGGAUCGCGCCGCCGACGAGUCACAGGGAGCCCCAGCCGCCCGAGGGCUACGUGGUGUCGUUUGCCAAGUUCCACCGCCACGGCCUGGGUGCUCCCCCGAGUCGCUUCAUGCGGGCCCUCUGCUUCCACUACGGGGUGGAGCUCCAGCACUUCUCCCCGAACGCCAUCACCGUCGCGGCGGUCUUCGCCGCCGUGUGUGAAGGCUACUUGGGGAUGAUGCCGCACUCGGAGCUGUGGCUCCAUCUCUACAGGGGCGAGCUCUUCAACGCCCCCACUGGGGCCACCGGCGUGAGGAAACCUGUGCGGGCGGGUUGCCUCAAUCUCGUGCUUAAGACGGGGAAGUCGGAGAGGCCGCGCGAGUACAUCCCGCUGGGACUGUCGACUAACCACGCCGGCUGGGACUCCCAAUGGUUCUAUCUGAGGAAUGACGACGACCUGCUGCCCGCCUAUACCGGGCGUUUGAUCACGGAGCGACCGGAGAAUUGGGCGUACGGCGUUGUCCAAGUUCACCAAUCUCGGCUCGACCCCCUCCUCGACGUCAUGAAGAAGCUGCGUUCGGAGGGCUUGACUGCCGCCCUCGUUCUCUCGGCCGUUCAUCACCGGAGAGUUCUCCCUUUGAUGUCUCGGCCGUUGAGGAUGGAUGAGAUGGGCCCCGGCGUUCCAUCUCGGGACCUCGAGGCGUGCCGGAUGUCCAACGAGGCUCCGACGGAUGACGAAGUCGCGGCCCGAGUCAGGGCUGCCAUUGCCGGUGAUUUUCAGCCGGAGCAUGUUAACGGCUUCCCCAUGAGGCCAGAUGCCGGCUCGAUCGAUCUGGUAUGUUUUCUUCUUGCGCGCAACCUCGAUUCUGGGUUUCUUUUCUUUCCCUCUCCUUUUCUUUUCUAAGUCUGCCUUCAUUUUGACAGGGACGGAUCGACGUCCGGUCCUCGAGGCCCCCGGUAAAGGAGGACGGGGUCGAUCGUGACAAACGGCGCCAAUCCGCCGAAAAGCUAAAGUCCGCUAAGGACUCUGCCAAGAAGGGGGAGAAGAAGAAGAACCUCGACCGUCAAGCGUUAGAGGCGCGUCGGGCCAAAUCCAGGCAGAGGGGGGAGCCUGAGGAAGAAUCCCCCAACGAUGACGAUGAUGACGACGACGACAACGAUGAUUCCGAGGGGAUGGCGUCACGCCUCGACCGGAUCCUCGAGGGCCCGUCUCGAGGCGACGUCGACGCCCCCCGGACGGAGAUGUCAAGGGAGGGUCCGAGUGAAUCUCAUCGCCCCCGGGCCGAGACACCUCCUGCGCCCAAGACGGGUCGAGACGCACCGCCCUCCCCCGGCGCCCAGAGAGAGCGGUCAGGCUAGACCCCAGGCGAAGGGGCCAUUGACUCGCGGUCGCGCCGCGGCCUCCGAGAAAGGAGAGGCCGGCCGCAGGAGCGCCAGUCCCGGUGCCCGUCAGGCAGGAACCGACGCGCCUAGGCCGGCGCCUGCCCUCGAGGGACCUGGAGCCCUGAUGCGGGGUGGCUCGAGGCCCGCUAGUCGGGGCGGCGGGAGGCGAGCUGUUCUCCCUAUGGGGUAAGCCCUUUCGAUGUUGUGGCUUCUGUUUUCCUGUCCCUCUGCCGAUCUUUUCUCAUAAACCGAUCCUUUCUCACGCUAAAGCGGACCCUCAAGCAGGCCCAACCAUCCAUGGCAAAGAGGCUCAAAGCGGGUGCCGCCUCCAAGGAACCAGGUUCGUAGUUUAUUUCUGGGCGUUGCGAUGUUCUUGUGUCGGUUAUCAUAACGUCUGACCUUUUUAUCCUUUGUUUUGUAGGCUCCUCCAGCUCCCAACCUCCAGCCGGCGUCGAGAAGGCUCCGUCUCGUCCCGCGCCUAUUCCGUCUUCGCCGACUCGUGAUGAGGCGCCCGAGACGCAAGCGUCAGAGGGAGCCCCCGAGCCCCCUUGAUUGGGGGUCGAGGGGGAACCCAUCACCAUCAGCGAUACGUCCGAUGGUAACGAAGCGUCUGGAGGCGCUCGCCCUAUGGAAGAGGAAGCGUCGACCCCUCGUGUCGCGGGAUCAACUCCCUGGCCCGCCGGCCUCCGCACCCUUGAGGAGCAGAAAAAGAAGAAGGAGGAGGAUGAACAGCGGGAGCGCGAGGCAGCGCGGCAGCCGCAGGAGCACGAGGCGCAGCAAUAGCAGCAACAGCAACAGCAGCAGCAACAACAGCAGCAGCAGCAGCAACAGCAGCAGCAGCAGCAACAACAACAGCAACAGCAGCAGCAGGGGGGCCAAGAGGAGGGACUGCUCGAGCCUCCGCCCCAUUGUCCGGCCCAGGCAGCACCACCGGAGCCGCAAGAGCUUGGUGAGCAGGAGGAGGAUCUGCCGGCGUACGGCCCCCCAACCCCGGCGUGGCUCCUCCCGGGGGCUCCUGCCGCGAUCCGGGCAGAGCCGGGGCGAGCGGAUGGAGUGGUGGCGCUUGCCUGCCUGAAGCGCACCCCCCGACCCCGAGUCCGAGAUCAAAAGGACAAUUUACGGCAUGGACGGGAUCGCCCCAGGGUUCCUCCGGGAACGUCGGGCGUGGGAGGACCGCUUUCCUUCCGAAGAGGACGAAAUUGGGACAUCUGGGACCAAGGACGGAACCUUGAAGACGGUGGACGACGACGGGCGGUUCCCAUGCCUCGUCGACCUGUUCCUGCGCCAUGGGGGCUCUCUCGAGACCGUCGAGGACCUCAUCCGCGGCGUUAAGGCGCGGGCCGACCGGGAGAUGGAGCACUGGUGCCCCGAUCGCAUCCGUAUCCGGGCCUCCCACGACCCGUCUGAGCCCGACAUCUUCCUCGACGAUCGGAAGGAGGCGGAGAAGUGGGAACACGUCGAGGAGCUCCGCCUUUGGAUGAAGCAUGUGGUGGGGCUCCUCUCUGACGUUGUCAACAACGGGCUCGACCCGGCUUAUUUCGUAAGUGUUUCUCGAACUUCAAUCCUCACGGUGCUUUCUGGUUUCUGUGUUCCAAUUCAUCCGACCCUUGAUUCGCAGGAUAUGAAAGAGACCUCCCGCAUCAAGUCCAGUUUCAUACACGCCACGAGAGGCGGCUGGGAGCAGCUUCCCCUCCUCAAGGAUCAACUCCUCGAGUCGUAGGAAAAGCUCCUUAAAGCUUAUAAGGAUCUCGUAGCACUCGAGGGGGAGAAGAAAGCGAGGGAGGCUGCUUUGGCCGAGGCCCGAGAGGCCUCGAAGAAGGCAGAGGAGGAGACGAUGCAGCUACGGGAGCGGGCUCUUACGGUCGAGGGGGCCGCGUCCAGAGCCCGGGAGGAGGCCCUGUCCUACAAGAACGUCAUCGUGGAUUUGGACAAGGAGAAGGGCCUCCUUAAAUCCGACCUGGACUCUCUCCGAGAGUCUUUCCGAAAGAUGAAGGUGGAGCAUGUGAACGGUGAGGUCGCCAGGGGCACCGCAGAGGAAGCCAAGAAGAAGGCCCUCGAAGAUCUCGAGGCGGAGCGGGCUCGAUCCCGCAGUCUCUCUAACGACGUUGAGCGUCUGAAGGGAGAAUUGCUGGAGAAGAGUGGGGCCAUUGUUCAGGCUGGCAAGGCGAUCGAGGAUCUCCGCGUUGCCAACACCGAGCUGGCACGCUCCAGCAAAGAGAUCGAGAGGGCCAACACCAGGCUGGUCGGUGAGAACACGGCUCUAGAGGAGACCGUACGCGGUAUGUUUCCUCUAUCAAGUUUCUUUUUUCGAGGUGUGCUUGGUUUUUCCUAAGGUCUCUUGUAUUGGCCUUUACAGGGCUCAAGGACGAACUCCUAGCCGCCCAAGCCGAGGCUCGCAACGCCAAGGCUCAGCUCGAGGCGGAGGUUGCUUUGAACCGUCGAGUGCGGACGGCGAUAAGUGAUCUCUCGACCUCUUGGGAGGUCGAGCCCAUGGAUGUGUCGCGGGAGGGAGCUCGAGGCGACGCCCUGGUCGACCAGCUGUGCUACAUAGGCGCGACGCUGCGAGAUCGGGUGCGGGAUGCUCUCCACAUCGGGGUGAAGCGGGCGAUGGCGGUUGUCUGCUCGGGCUUCUCCUACGACAUGGAGGUGGUGUCUCAUGGCUUCGUCACCGACAUCUCCAAGACCGACGCGGAGAACGAGGAGAGGCUCCACGCCUUGAUCGAUGACGCGGAGGCUCCUGGGGAAAGGUUGGCUAGGCUUUUUGAGCCUGAGGUGCUCCCUCCUGAGGCUAGCUCGGGCGGAGGCGAGGGCGGUGAGGAUCGUGCCGCGGACUGAGGCCUGCGAGCCUGCUCAUGGUGCCUGAGGACCAUUGUAUGAUACUUUGUUAAUUCUAUGGUUAACUGAUACUGUAUCUUUUUCGUAAUCGUUAAAUGCUUAUUUUGUCUUUCCGCUCGAUGCUUUCGUUUCUCUUUGCGCCUACGUUUGUAUCCCUUGCUCGAUUUUUCGUGAAAGACCACCUCGAUCACUUCAAUAGUGGGGAAGUGAGUAGAGUUUCCGUAGCCCGGGGGCGUAGGAGUUCUCCAGUUCAUUGUCCCUCGGCCUUUGAGGGGCUCGAGGCGCCUUAGCUACUUGAACCUUGCAAGGUCUACUACGCAAGAAGAGAAAACUUCUUGGUUUUUUCGACACUCGGGGGGGGGGGGGUCGUCCCCCAGGUAGCCCCCGAGGGGGUGCUGACUAUGAUGGGUCAUAGUCGGCGGCCCCUUUUAAUCGUCGAGAUCAUGACUUGUAAGUCUUUUUGGCACGAAAAGAAGUUGCUCCGAGGGAAAGACUUUAUUUAUUCAUUCAUUCGUCUACAAAAUCUUGGUACAAAACGUAAGCAGGAACAUAAGGCUAGAGCUUCUAGGGGUAGAAUCGACGUAGCUGUUCGAUGUUCCAUGCGUUGGUGAAGAUUGCCCCCUUUUCGUCCGCCAACUUGUACGUUCCCGGCUUAAGGACCUCGGCCACCACGUACGGGCCUUCCCAGGGUGGAGUCAGCUUGUGGCGUCCUUGAUUGCUUUGCUGGCGUCGUAGGACAAGGUCACCUACGUUGAGGUCCCUCUUGCGCACGUGCUUGUCGUGGUAGCAUCGAAGUUUCUGCUGAUAUCUGGCAGAGUUGAGGAGGGCCAUGUCUCGAGCCUCCUCGAGUUGGUCGACCGCGUUUUCUUGAGUCUCUCUGUUUGAUUGCUCGUUGUAAGCCUUGAGUCGAGGUGAUCCAUACUCGAGGUCUGUGGGGAGGAUAGCCUCAGAGCCGUAAAGCAUGAAGAACGGGGUGUAUUUUGUGGCCCUGCUUGGUGUUGUCCUAAGGCUCCAUAGGACUGAGGAAAGCUCCUCGACCCAUUUCUUGCCGAAUUUCUUCAAUCGAUUGUAGAUCCUUGGCUUGAGUCCUUGUAAAAUCAUGCCGUUGGCACGCUCGACCUGGCCGUUAGUUCGAGGGUGGGCUACUGCAGACCAGUUCACACGGAUGUGAUGCUGAUCGCAGAAGUCCAAGAACUUUUUGCCGGUGAACUGGGUGCCGUUGUCGGUGAUGAUGACGUUGGGGAUCCCAAACCGAUGGAUGAUGUCGGUGAAGAAAAGGACGGCUUGCUCGGAACGGAUGUUGGUGAUGGGUCGAGCCUCGAUCCAUUUGGGGAACUUGUCAAUGGCCACCAGCAAACGAGUGUAUCCUCCUUUUGCCUUUUGUAGAGGUCCUACUAAAUCGAGCCCCCACACCGCAAACGGCCAGGUGAUGGGGAUCAUCUGAAGAGCGUGGGCGGGCAGAUGCGUCUGCUUGGCGUAGAACUGGCACCCAUGACACGAGCGUACGAGCUCAAUGGCGUCCGCCACGGCCGUUGGCCAGUAGAAGCCUUGUCAAAAAGCGUUCCCUACAAGGGUCCGUGGAGCGGCGUGGUGGCCACAAGCCCCCGAGUGCAGGUCAUCGAGGAGUUUUCGGCCUUCUUCCACGGUGAUGCUACGUUGUAAGACCCCCGUCGGGCUCCGUCGAUAUAGCUCGUUGUCUUCGCCAUAGGUUACAUAUGAUUUGGCCCGUCGAGCGAUACGACGAGCUUCUGACCGGUCUUCUGGCAACUCGCCGCGGAUGAGGCAGUCGAGGAACGGCGUGCGCCAAUCGAGCCGUCGUUCUAUCUCCAUCACCUCUUCCACCAUCAAGAGCGUAUCGACAGCAUUGGUUGGUUGGGCGGUGGUGGCGUCGACGCCAGCCCCCGUGCCUAGGUCGACGGAUGGCUCGUGAAGAUCUUUUGAGAAUGCAUCAGGCGGCACCGUGCCUCUGGUUGAUGCGAUCUUGGCGAGUUCGUCGGCUGCCUCGUUGUAGCGUCGGGCGACAUGGACAAGCUCGAGACCAUGGAAUUUGUCCUCGAGUCGACGGACUUCUUUGCAGUACAGUUCCAUUUUCGGGUCGUGGCAGCUCGAGGUUUUCAUUACUCGGUCGAUGACGAGUUGGGAGUCACCUCGGACGUCGAGGCGUCGGACUCCUAACUCGAUAGCAAUCUUGAGACCAUUGACGAGGGCCUCAUAUUCUGCGACAUUGUUAGACGCGGCAAAAUGAAUCCUGAUUACAUACCUCAUGUGGACGCCCAAGGGUGAGAUGAACAGCAGGCCGGCCCCAGCCCCAGUUUUCAUGAGUGACCCGUCAAAAUACAUUGUCCACAGCUCCGCCUGGACCUGAGUCGGGGGAAGCUGGGAGUCCGUCCAUUCCGCGACGAAGUCCACCAGGGCUUGCGAUUUGAUGGCCUUCCAAGGCGCGUAAGUGAGAGUCUCACUCAUGAGCUCGACCGACCACUUAGCUAUUCUUCCCGUGGCCUCCUUGCUCUGGAUUAUCUCACCCAAGGGGAAAGACGAAACCACCGUGAUGGGGUGACCGAGGAAGUAAUGCUGCAGCUUGCGGCGGGCGAGGAUUAUGGCGUAGAUCAGCUUCUGGAUUUGGGGGUAACGCGCCUUGGUCUCCGAAAGCACCUCGCUGUCGAAAUACACUGGCCUUUGGACCGGCAGCGCAUGACCCUCCUCUUGUCUUUCAACCACCACUGCCGCACUGACGACCUGAGUCGUUGAUGCGACGUAAAGGAGUAGUGGCUCUGCAGGUUGAGGUGGGACCAGGACUGGUGCCGAGGUCAGUGUCUUCUUCAGUCUUUCGAGUGCUUCCUCGGCCUCGGGGGUCCAAGAAAAGCGCUCGACCUUCUUCAGGAGUCGGUACAAUGGUAACGCCUUUUCUCCUAGUCUCGAGAUGAAGCGGCUCAGAGCCGCCAGGCAUGCCGUGACUCUCUGCACACCCUUGAUGUCUCGGAUCGGCCCCAUCCUUGUGAUGGCCGAGACUUUCUCGGGGUUGGCCUCGAUGCCGCGCUGCGAAACGAUGUAGCCUAGGAGCAUGCCUCGAGGUACGCCAAAAACGCAUUUCUCGGGAUUGAGCUUGAUCUGGUUGGUGCGUAAGCAGCUAAAAGCGAUCUCGAGGUCCUGGAUCAAGUCCCCUCGUCGUUUUGACUUGACGACAAUGUCGUCGACAUAGGCCUCGACAGUUGACCCUAUGUGUUCCCCGAAUACGUGGAGCAUGCAACGUUGGUAUGUGGCUCCCGCGUUUCGAAGCCCAAAUGGCAUGGUCACGUAGCAAUACAUCCCAAAAGGUGUGAUGAAAGAGGUCGCGAGCUGGUCGGACUCCUUCAUUUUUAUUUGGUGGUAACCAGAAUAUGCAUCAAGGAAAGAAAGGGUUUCGCAUCCCGUGGUAGAAUCGACAAUCUGAUCAAUACGUGGUAAUGGAAAAGGAACUUUUGGACAUGCUUUAUUUAGACUAGUAUAAUCGACACACAUCCUCAUUUUCCCAUUCUUUUUCUUAACUAAUACAGGGUUUGCUAACCAGUCGGGAUGAUGAACCUCCUUGAUGAAUCCGGCUGUCAAAAGCUUGUGGAUUUCCUCGCCGAUGAUCUUGCGCUUCUCCUCGUCGAAUCGGCGCAACCGCUGCUUCACUGGCUUGGAACCGGCACGAAUCUCCAAGGAGUGCUCGACGACUUCCCUUGGUAUGCCUGGCAUGUCCGAGGGACUCCAUGCAAACAUGUCGGCAUUCGCAUGGAGAAAGUCGACGAGCACAGCUUCCUAUUUGGGGUCGAGGUCGGUGCUGAUCGUCAGCACUUUUCCUUCGGAGUUGUUGGGGUCGAGCGGGAUCUUCUUGGUUCCUUCUGCCGCCUCGAAGCUGCCCGCGUGGCGCUUAGGCUCUGGAGCCUCAGCGGCCAGGGCCUCGAGCUUCGCGACGAGCUCGGUGGAGUUCUCGACCGCCUCCCCGUACUCGACGCACUCGACGUCGCACUCGUACGCGUGCUCGAAGGAGGAACUGACAGUGAUGACGCCUUUGGGACCGGGCAUCUUCAGCUUCAAGUAGGUGUAGUUGGGUAUAGCCAUGAACUUGGCGUAGCCCUGGCGCCCGAUGAUGGCGUGGUACGUGCCUCGGAACCCAACCACCUCAAAGGUGAGGGUCUCCUUCCUGAAGUUGGCCGCCGUGCCGAAGCAGACCGGUAAGUCAAUUCGACCUACUGGCAGCGCCUUUUUUCCUGGCACGACGCCAUGGAAACCGCCGGCACUUGGUUGGAGCUUCCCUCUAUCUAUGCCGAGGAGGUCAAGGGUCUCGAGGUAGAUGAUGUUGAGGCUGCUGCCACCAUCCAUCAGCACUUUCGAGAGCCGGGUGUUGACGAUGAUGGCGUCGACGACGAGCGGGUAGACGCCUGGGGCGACUACCUUGUCGGGGUGGUCCUCUCGGUCGAAAGUGAUAGGAGUGCUUGACCAGCUAAGGUACUGGGGCACCGCCAUUCUUGCCGCAAAGACUUCGCGACGCUCCCUUUUGCGCUGCCUCGUGGUUAAUUGAGUCGAGGGCCCGCCAUAGAUCAUGUAGCAGUCGUGGACGGCGGGGAAGCCGUCGUCAUCUUUGUUGUCCUCCUUGCUGCCACCCUUCUCUUUCUUGGAGUCGUCACGCGCAUCUUUUUUGAACCCCAGACCGUCGAAAUGCUUUCUCAGCAUACGACAAUCCUUGAGCUUGUGGUUGGCGCCUCCCUUAUGGUAAGGGCACGGCUCCUCCAACAUCUUGUCGAAGAUGCCUCCAUCCGGAGGACCUCGAGGUUUCUUUCGAUCCAUGGCGGCGACAAGGUGGUCAUCGGAAUCCUCCCGGUGGAACUGCCGUACUUUCUGCUUCUUUUUAUUUUUCUUGAGGCCUCAACUAGGGGUUCCAUCUUCAUCGAUGGGCUGCUUGCCUUUUCUUCCUUCUGAGCUGAAGAAGGCACCGACUGCCUCCUCCCCUACCGCGUAGUUGGCUACUACGUCCAUCAGCUCGUCGACGGUCUGAGGUCGAUUGCGACCUAAUUCCCGCACCAAGUCUCGACUGGUGGUGCCCGAGACGAACGCCAAGAUGACGUCGUGGUCAGGGAUGUGCGGCAGCUCAGUGCGCUGCUUCGAGAAGCGUCGAGCAUACUCCCGAAGAGUUUCUCCUGACUUCUGCUUGCAUUUGCUGAGGUCCCACGAGUUCCCUGGCCGUAUGUAGGUCCCUUUGAAGUUACCCUCGAAGACUCUGACCAGAUCAACCCAGUUGUGGAUUUGAUCGGCGGGGAGUUCCUCGAGCCAUCAACGGGCGGUGUCGGAGAGGAAAAGCGGGAGUUGCCUGAUGAUAGCUCGAUCGUCUCCUCGAGCUCCCCCCAACUGACAGGCUAGCCUAAAAUCGGCUAACCACAAUUCUGGUUUGGUUUCGCCGUUGUACUUUGCGAUGCUGGUCGGGGGUCGGAAUGGAUUGGGCAGGGGCGUGCUGCGGAUCGCCCUGCUGAACACCCGUGGGCCCGGUGGCUCAGGGGCCACCCGGUCCUCGUCGCUGUCGUAUCUCCCGCCGCGAUGCGCGCUCUAACCGCGCUCUUUCGCGUCUCCGUGCCGGCGGCGUCGAUUUUCUUCGAUGUCGUGCCGCGCGUCGUGUCGACGCUGAUUGUCAACGGGGAGGAUGAGAGCGGUCUUUCUGCCUCGAGGGGGAGGUUGUUGAUGGACUGACACCUCCUUUUCGUUUUGAGGCUGUUCGUCGCGUUUCUCUGUGGCAGCUCCUCGUCGUCGAGAUGCCGAGCUUUCGGCUUGUUGAACUGCCGCCACCUGGAGCAAUGUCUGUACCUCAUCUCGAAUGCGUCGGGCCUGGGAAUUCGACGGCUCUGGCAUGUUACGCAGCAACAUCGUCGCUGCCACUACAUUCUGGCCUGCUCGAGGGAAACGGCUGACAGGUUGCUCUGGCUCUGCGUCGCCGACGAUCUGACGAUGUACCUCUCGAGCGCGUCUGCGGACACUUCCGCCCGGCGGGUAGGGCAGGUCUUGCUCAAGGAUUUGCUCGAGCAGGACGAGGCGCUCGCGGUCUUCGUCGAGCUUCACCUUGAGUUCCCGCAGCUGCGCGAGCUGCGCGGUUCUGUCUUCCUGUGGAGGGGGGUCGACCUGUCCGUCGUUCCCAGGCGUCCUGGGGUCUUCUCGUGCCGCGGGGGCUCGACCGCCCGCAGCAGCAUCCCGUGUCUCGUCGGUAGUUUCUACCGCCCCGUCGAUGUGAUAGCAUUCCCUCGUAGGGUCAUAGCUAUCAGUCUCGGAGUCGGAGUUCGGUUUGACGGCGCAGAAACACCCACGUCCUUCCUCCAGCAAUCGCUGCCUGAGGGAGGUGAUCGUGUAUCGUCCGGGGCCUAGACGACGGAGGCCUCGUACCUGGGAAAGGUCCGGCAGCUCGGACGCCGGCCGCCGCGCUUCAGAGCCACGUGGGAGGGCCAUUGGUCUUUCUACGUAUGUCCGGGCGUUCGGGCAUAUCGCCCUGGCGAGCGACGCCGCGGCGUUGUUCAAUCCGAACGGCAGUGCCGCUCUUGGAGUGAACAACCCUCGUGGAAGUAGCCUAGCAGCGGUGGGGGAGAGCGCGUGAGACGCGUCCCCUCCCGUCGUUGCGCGGUGCUGAGUCGUCGCGCUUGUUGCUCCGCCACACGGUGCUGCCGACCUAUGGCCUACGUCCUGCCUCGCGCGAGUUGUUGGUCGUGCUGAAGCAGAGGGGCCGCGGUGGUGCUGUCCGCGCCUCUUCUUAGGCGGGGAGGCGUGGUGGUGAGGGCGUCUCGGGGCCUUCAACCAUGCUGGCGUAACGCGGGCUCCUCCUGGUCCUUUGACUGAGAGCAAGAUCAUGUCGUAGCCGGCGCCCGUAGACAUGAACUCGAGACUCCCAAACCAAAUCACCGUGGAGCGCGGAAACGGCGAGGCAAGAGUGGCCAUCCGGAAAGGAGUGGGAAAUCGAUGAAAAACACGCAGGACCCCUACCUGGCGCGCCAACUGUCGGUGUUUUCCCCCCGGGGGGUCACACCAACGAGUAAAUUUGUAUGCGUGUUCCCUUUUCCAGAUGGUGAUGCAAGAAGACACUGAGAUUUAUCCUGGUUCGGGCAAGAGAAGGCCCUACGUCCAGCGGGGGGGAGAGAGUUUUUAUUAUCUUGCACCUAAGUGCUUGUACAGGGGUGAAUACAAGCGCGGUAUGAAGUGUGGAGCACUACUACGUAUGAGCGUGGUGUUCGCUUGCCGUUCUAUUCCUGAGUCCCUCCUUUUAUAGUCCCAAGGAGAGACCCAGGGUACAUGUAUAGGCGUCAGAAUAGGAGUCGAUAGCAGCAUGGAGCGCUGACCUACUCGAGGCUUCCGUACCGGCGUGGCCUCGAGUCGUCUCGUCUUGGUAGCCUGGCGAUGAUUACGCGUGCUCUGUUAUCCUGCUCUGCGCCCCGUCUUGGAUUGGUUACCGGAUGUGCGCUUGUACGACCCGACGGCAAAUCCGGCGGAGUGGUUGGGAUGUAGUCAGUCGACGCCCAACUCGUCCCCUGGAAGGAUCCCUGUCUUGGUCGAGGUUUGGAUGCCGUACAUUGUGCUGAUAUCCGGAGCGCUGACUUCAGAUGUCUCGAGGGGGUCCCGACUAGACGUUCCAUCCUCGUUUCCCGCGUUCUGACAUAUCCAGGGUCGUCUGGUGGGAAGACUGCAAAAAGAACGAUGGGACAGAUGCUUGUUCCCUUAUCACGCCUUCCGUGACCCAUGUGUUAGGUGGGGAAGCGUCAGGUGCAUUAAAUGCCCUGGCUCUCGUGCGCGUGUCAGGCGGCGGACAGUGUCCUUGCUCUCGACGCCUCUUGAUUCGCUCGGGACCGCUUCCGUAUUCGACGACAGUUGGCGCUCGAGCCCUGAUCGAUUGGCUCGACGCUACUUCCGUCUUCGAGGCCGCGGCCGUCGACGGUUGCGCGUAUGUAUGGACGGAGCGUCGAAUCGAAGAUCUAGUCUUAUGUACGGAUGGUCUCGUUAUAUGUAUUGGUGAGGGUACCCCUUGUUGAUACCCUCGACAGGAGUGAUAAAAGAUGUUUUGAUUUGAUCGUCUUCCUUUAGUGAGAUCUGGUGGUAACCAGAGUAGCAAUCUAGAAAGGGGAGGAUUUCGCAUCCGGCCGUUAAGUCGACCACCUCGUCGAUGCGAGGGAGACCAAAAGGAUCUUUAGGACAGUGUUUAUUGAGAUUAGUGUAAUCAACGCACAUUCUCCAUUCAUUGUUCUUUUUUCUUACAAGAACCGGAUUGGCGAGCCAAUCGAAAUGAUACACUUCUUUAAUGAAUCCGGCUGCUAGAAGCCGCGUUAUUUCUGUCCUAAUAGCCUCCUUUUUUGUCAUGAGCGAACCGUCAUAGCUUCUGCUUGAUAGGUCUUGCGGUCUUCGAGACGUUUAAGGAGUGCUCGAUCAGGUUUCGUGGGACGUCGGGCAUGUCUGCGGGUUUCCAUGCGAAAACGCUCACGUUGUCCCUUAGAAACCUGACGAGCGCGUCUUCCUAUUUAGGGUCCAGAUUGGCCCCGAUGAGAGCUGUCUUCUCGGAGCUGCUGUCGACCAGCUGCACCUCCUUGUGCUCUUUGGACUUUGAAUUUUUCCUCGGAGUCUCCUGCUUGGGUAGUCGAAGCUGGUCGGGUGGAAACUGCGUAGCUUGGGCUACGGUUUCUGCCAUGCGGAUCGAGAGAUCGAUUGCCUCGGUGAUCUUGAAGCUUUCCUCCUCGCAAGUGUAUGCGGUGUAGACGUUGCCUAUGACAGUUAGGACGCCCUUCUCUGUUGGCAUCUUGAGCACCAGGUAUGAGUAGUGUGGAACUGCCAUGAACUUUGUCAGUGAUGGUCGGCCCAGAAUUGCGUGGUAAGUGCCGUCGAAGUCGGCGACCACAAAGUUGACAAACUCUGUUCGAAAGUGGUCAGGUGUUCCAAACUGGACAGGCAACGUUAUCUGUCCGAGGGGUACUGAACUUUGACCUGGCAGGACUCCCCAGAAUUGAGCGUCAUACGGCUUUAGUUGCGCCGGGGUUAUCUUGAGAGCAGGCAGGCUGUUGCGGAAAAGGAUGUCAAUGGAGCUGCCCCCGUCAACGAGCACGUGCUCGAAUCUGACACUGUUGAUGCAAGGAUCCAGGAUUAGAGGGAAACGUCCUGGCUUCGGGAUGGCGGCCCAUUGGUCCUUCCUGUUGAAGGAGAUCUCCCCGUGCGAUCAGGGAGGAAAUUUUGGAUCGGUGACCAGACCGUCUGCGCUGUCCACGUUGAGGCAGGCUCUCUUCAGGAGCUUUCUCUCUUGUUUAGACUCGAUGGAAACUUUGCCUCCGAAGAUGGAGUGGACCACGUCGGUGGGACUGACAUACUGGUGUCGUGGGUCCCUAUCCUUGUCGUCGUCUUUGUCUUCGUGACCACGCCUGUGCUGCUUCCCGUUUUUCUUGGCGGAAUCAUCUUGAGCGGCCCGCUCUGUGUAGAUGCUUUUGAGGACACGACAUUCUUCCAUUGUGUGAUUGGACUUGGGAUGGAGUUGGCACGGUCCUUUCAACGUCUUGUUGUAGUCUUCCUGGUAGUCUCGCCGCCCAUUGGGGCGCUUGACCGUAUUCACCUCGUGGUCAAGGUCACGAGGGCGCUUGCCCCUGAAGUCAUUGCGAUUGUCACGCCGCCUGUCCCAACCUUCUCUAUGGUCGCGGUUGUCAGUGCAACGAUGGUUCCGGUUGUCAAAGCGUCUACGACUGUCGUCUCGUCGAGGAGGCUGGUCGGGACCUCUCGCAUCCUCUCGGAUGAGCUUUUCUGCGUCAUUAGCGUCAGCAUAGUUUUUUACCGUGUCGAGGAGCUCGGCCAUCGUGGUCGGCCUUUUGCGCAGUAGCUUAUUCCUUAGUGCUUCGUGGAAGCAUAGCCCUUUGAUGAAGGCUGAUAUGGCCUCGUCGUGAGAAAUUUUUGGAAUCUUAAGGCGCAUAUCCGAGAACCGUCGGAUGUAAUCACGCAAAGGCUCGUUUUUCCUGUCGCUUAUUCUCUCGAGAUUGUACUUGUUCCCAGGCUGCUCGCAGGUAGUGAUGAAAUUGUCAAUAAACGCCUGGCGCAGUUCUUCCCAAGAGUCAAAAGAGUCCUUGGGCAGGCCGAGGAGCCACUGAUGGCCAGCCUGGUCGAGGACGACUGGGAAGUAAUUUGCCAUGACGUGCUCGUCUCCUGCUGCUGACCGAACUGUAAUCUCGUAGAGACUGAUCCAGUUUUCAGGGUUUUCCUUGCCGUCAUAUUUUUUAAACUUCUCGAGUUUAAAGUUGCAGGGCCAUACGACUUGGCGAAGGUGUGAAGAAAACUGUCUUAGGCCGGGAGGGCCGUGCGCGGCAUCGUACUCAAUGCGUCGCAAGUUUUCGUGUACCGCUCUUUCUGUGGCGUGCCGGUUGAUGCGGUCGUGGGCAUCCUUGGGAGGUAUGUUGUAUCAUAGAUCCCUGUCCUGGUUUACUUCCUGACCACGCCCACGCUUCUUCUCGCGGUAGUCGCGCCCCAUGUCCUUCCUGCGGUUGUUGGGAGAGCGGCUACGGUGGCGCUCGCUAGGUUGGGGUGAAGUCUGGCUGCGAUGAGUCUGGUCGGAAGAGUCCUCUGUGUAGGAGAUGGCUUGGACCCUUUUGAGUAAGGUGGCUGUCUGUCCCAUCGCGGUGAUCAGGUGUGCGCGUAUACUGGAUCGGACGCCCUGGCACUCAGGAGUAUCGGGGGUCGGUCCAGGUUUGCCAUAGCAACAGCCACGUUAGCACUUGGUGCCUUGUAGACUGGCUGAUCUCCAACCAUGUCGAAAGCGUCACUGAGGUUAUGCGGCGCAAGUUGCUGUUCCUCAUCCGCGCGCCGCCGAGCGCGAUCGGCAUUGUGCUGUUCGCGGAGCGGCUUCUGCUCGUCUGUUUCUCCGUCGACAACCGGUUCAUCGUUGCUGACAUUGAAGAUAAGAUCUCCCCGCCGAGGUGGAAAGACUGGGAAGCGAGAAAAGCCUGGAGGGUACGGUGGUAAAUCCAGGUCGUAAUCUUCAUCCUCGGAGUUUAGAACCUCAGUAUGGAUGGACCCUGUGCUGGAGUUCGUACUGGUAGCCUUGUCGCUCGGUAGUACUUGGAUUGAUACCAUGUUGACGUAAUGGCGAGCUGCUCGGCUGCUCCGUCUCGGCGACCAGCCCGCGCUGUUGAAAAGGGAUUGGGUGUGCCGUGAGUAGUGAUCGGCCGAGUUGUUUAGUCCGUAAGGAGGACUUUGGUCUUGAGCUGUCUUGAGCUUGACGGACCGCUCCGUGGGGGUGGAUGUUAUUGUCAGAGACGUCCCCAGCUGUUCGUGUGUGAUGACACGAGUUGGCCGCCAGGAGUCGAAAGAAUUUGUUGACGCCGCUUGAUCAGAUUGGCACGAGAUCCAAUCUACCAGUUUGGAAGCUUCGAGGAGCCUGAGAUCGGCGCGAUCUAGAGCUCGGAAAAGAUCCUAGUCGUCGACCUUUUUUCCCUUGUAACGAGGGAGCGGAGGUCGGGUGCUCGGUGCCGGCGUGAUCAGAAUAGAUGCCCCUGCUGUCCCAGAUCGGAUCUAGGUUCCUUCCGAGGUCAUGGUCGUGAGGCCGCCGCCAUGAGUCGUCCACGUGAUCUGGCCGACGGUGAACGUGAGGCCUUCCGCCACGGCCGCGGAAGCUGGAACGAUGACCAUCUUGUUCGUCGGGAGAGCUGUACGCACACCCCCUACCUGGGGCGCCACUGUCGACGAAAGCUAGUCGGCAGUCUACCUUGGGGUAUACCCACGGUAGUAGUUUAUCGGUAGACGAUGCGCAAGCUACGAACUUGACGGUGACGCUAGACACAGACAAAGUUUUUAUCCAGGUUCGGCCGCCGUGUGGGCAUAAUACCUACGUCCUGGGUGUGAUUGUAUUGGAUUAUGUUGAGAUGAAUUGCCUAGGGGGGUCCCUUGCCUCUCCUUAUAUAGUCCAGAGGGCAGGGUUACAAAUCUGGAAACUAAUCCUAGUCGAUUACAAUUGCCAUAGAUAGUGCGAUAUCAAUUCCUAUUCUAACCGACUAGAAUCUUGCUUGAUCUCCACGUCUCGUUUCCUUACGUGAAACUCCGAAAAGUUGGAUCAAGCCUCGAACUGUCUUCAUGAUGGGCCAAGUCUCCUAGCCCAAGUCUAGGUAUAGGGGUUUAUACCCCCACAUAUAUAUACGCACAAAAUCUUUAUUUGGUUUUUCAUGUUUAUGUAUAUUUAUAUUUUAAUAUAGUAUAAGUAUAAAGAUAGAUAGAAAUACUUAUCGGGAUAAAUGGGGGUGCUCUCCCCCAAGCUAAAUUUUGACGUAAUUUCUCUUGAUGUAGCUAGCAGGUGGCAGAGGUGUAUUUAAAAGUCAGCAGCAUUCUGACAGCGAUUAGAAUGUCCUCCAUCUGCUAGUCUUCUCGAUUCUUAAAUUUUGUGGAGCUCAAAUAGACAACAAAGCUUUGUGGAACUGAUUAAGUGUUAGCAUAAAUAUCUAGCCUUUAUCAUGUUGAGACUCCUUAAUAAAUAUUACUCUCUAUUUUUAUAUUUUCAUUUUAUAAAGUACAAAAAAAUAUUUAUUUAUUUUUAUGCCACCACAGUGAAUGUACUUAUGGGUUUCAUGCCACUCAUAUACUCACAUGGGGCUUACUGUUUUUUAGCAUUUUUAUUUUCUUUUUAGGAUAGUAUAAAUAUGAUUAACUAAGUGAACUAUUUAAAAUAAUUGAAAGGGAAAAGAUAACUACCAAGUUUACCUCUUGGCAAGGCGUUCGGUGUUUUUAAGUCCUCCGAACGGGACCCUCCGUUUUCUCAAUUGUCCUGGGAUUCGUUGGGUGGCGGAGUCGGUACUUCCGGCAGCGCCUUCUCUUCAUGUAUAGUUAUCUUCUCUUUCUACACCUGACUCGGUGCUACGGUCUCCUCUAGAUAAUUCUAUUUAAACUGUAUGUCUUCUGACCUUACCACUUCUCCUUCAUAGUUUGCCCAUCCGUCCUUGAUGAUUUGCCUCCUCUGGUUGCGGUUGCAUCGUUUUCUUACCUGCUUAGAGUCUUCAACGAUAUAGUUAGGGUCAGUAAAAUAGCGGCGUACCUUCUCUGAGGGGAAGUGCAUAUGGACUUCUCCAGUUCCAAUGUAGAUGAUUGCCUUAACGGUGCUGAGGAACGGUCUUCCAAGGAUGAUGGGUGGAUCGUAUUCGUCUUCUCCCAUGUCAAUAUCCUGAAAGUCUUUGUAGACAAAAUGAUCGUCUAUUUUGAUAGGGAUAUCAGUUACUAUUCCUUUAACUUCUCGAAACGUCUGAUCUGCCAUCUAGAGUGGAAUGUAUGUUGGUUUUAGGGGCAUGGUUCCGAACAAGAGCCGAUAGGUGACUGUGGCCAUUAUGUUGAUGCCCAAUCCGGUGUCGCAAGUCGUCUUGUAGAAGUUAUAUCCAUUUAUGGAGCAAUAGAUGCUUGGCAUUCCUGGGUCGUCCUUCUUGGUCAGAAACGGUGACUUAAGUUGAUGAUCUUGGCCUCCAUGAACUGCAGUGACCAUCUUAGCUGACUCGGUCCAUACUUGCUUGUUCUUGUUCCUCCUAUUGGUCCUCUUCCUUGAUUCAUGUCUGGAUUGAUCUGGGAUUUGUGUAGUCUAGUUCUUGAAGGAAAAUGUCUCCUUCCUCCCUUUGAUGUAGAAACUGAUCUUGGCAGCACUAGCGUAGAUGACAGCUCCCGGGGUGUUUAAGAAUGGCCUCCCUAAAAUGAUAGGUGCCCUCUCAUCAUUUCCGGUCUCUAUCACCACAAAGUCUGCUGGGGCAUAUAAGGUACCAACUCGGACACAAAGGUUCUUCAAUAUUCCUUUUGGAAAACUUAUCGUCUGAUCUGCAAACUGCAAACACAUGGUUGUUUCUAAUAAAGGAUAUGUAAAGAAUUUUUCACAGAGUACCCUAGGUAUAAUGUUGACGCUAGAGCCAAAGUCGCAGAGUGCUUCUGGGAAGUCCACCAUGCUGAUGGAGAUCAGGAUGACGGGGCGUCCUGGAUCGCCUCUCUUGACCGGCAGAAGGUCAGUAGUAACUUCAGUGACGGGGUUACUCCAAUUACCUGCAUAAAACAUCUCUACAAGAUUUGCAGAUUCUAAUCCUUCCGGUUGUGACGGUAUACCGGGGUUAGUAGCAGAAACAACAACAGCUAUUUGAUUUAACUGAGAUUCAAUCAUUUUAUUAAAGCUAAUUUGAUUCUUGAUGGCAGUAGAGAAAUUAUCCAUUCUACUAUUUAUAUUUUCUAGCAUUUUAUCAUUAGAUGCCAAUUUCUUAAAUAGGUUAUCCAUUAGCUUUCCUUGAUUAGACACUAACUCUCUCAGAGGUGGAAAAUUAUUAUUAUUGUUGUAAGAAUUGUUACCUUGAUAAUUACCUGAGUAGUUAGGCCUCUGUUGAUUCCAACCUUGAUUUUGUUGAGGACGGUUAUAGUAGUAGUAGUAGUUGUUCUUGAUGUAGUUCACAUCCUCAAGCAUCUCAGGGCAGUGAUUGCCUGAGUGUCCAGUGUCUCCACACUCCUCACAAGUCAUGUGAGAGUCGAAGAUGUGCAUAACUUCUUUCUUAUCUCCAAUUCUAUCAUCGAGCUUCUUCAUGAGCAGGUCUAGCUUUGCAGACAACAUGUCUACCUCCUUGAGCUGAUGCAUACCUCCACCUCUCUUGUGUGUCUGGGUCCUUUCUUCAUUCCAGCUUUGGUUGGACGCCAUCUUCUCCACAAGAGCUGUGGCUUGUGAUAUGGUGAGUGAUAAGAAUGCUCCUCCAGUUGCAGCAUCCAUGGUCUCUCGGGCACUGUUGCUAAGCCCAUGAUAAAAUGUCUGCAUUAGUAGCCAACUCUCCAUUCCAUGAUGGGGACAUUCUAGGAUGUAGUCUUGGAAGCGCUCCCAUGCUUCUGGAAUGGAUUCAUCAUGUUGUUGCUGAAAACUUGUAAUCUUCCCACGGAGAGCAUUGGUCUUGCCCAUGGGAAAGAAAUUAGCCAGGAAGUUUGUUGAGCAGAGUGCCCAGGUAGUAUUCUUCUCCUUUGUAGCGUAAAACCACUGCUUCACUCUUCCUAACAGUGAGAAUGGGAAGAGGCGAAGUAGUAUAGCAUCUCUAGGGACUCCUGAUAUGGUGAAUGUGCUGCAUAUCUCUAGGAAGUGUUGGAGAUGAGCACUAGCAUCUUCGUGUGCCUUCCCACAGAACUGGUUGGAUUGCACCAUGUUGAUAAGACUAGGCUUGAGCUCAAUGUUGCCGUCGAUCUCUGCAGCAGGUCCAGUACGGAUGUUGUCCGUAGUGGGACCUGAGAACUCGCAGAUCGAUUUGUUCGCCAUGGCUUCGAACUCUGAAGACAAGUUCCAGUGGUCUUCUUGAUUAGAUGAAGCUUCUUGCUGAAGUGUUGAUGAUCUCUUCUUGAGCUUGGCUCUUGUUUUUCUGAAUAACGCUUCGGGAUUGUCAACAAAAUUUCCUGGAAAAGGUUCUCUAUUCAUACAUUACCCUGCAUAAGAUAAAAUAGAAAAAUAUCGGGGUAAAACUGUAUGAGAGAAUUGAUAAGCUCAAUCAUCUUAGUGAUGCGAAUGAUAACUCAAAAUCCUAAUCCAUACUUGAUUAGUAAUCAACCUUCCCCGGCAACGGCGCCAAAAAUGCUUGUUAGGUAUUCUUAACAUCACUACCAAAAGUAGACAGUUUUCUAAUUCUAGUAACGGUGCCAAAAAUGCCAAACCUAUCCCUCAUACCACUUAAGCCAAAUUGUCAUCCCCAGCAUGACAUGAGAGACGCGGUAUUGAAAUAUUCAAUUGCUCAUCUAAAUAAAUAAUGAAUGGGAUCUGCAAGCGCACAGAUUAAUACUGAUGUAGCAUUUUAACCGGGAAGUAUUCCAGGUAUCGUUAUUUAUAUUUUUACCACUGGGAAGGGAUUAGCAACCAUCAAUAUUGAUUAUAGAAUAGAAUAUGAGAUCGAGUAUCUAUCAUUGCAUGUAUAAUUGAGAACAUUUAUCUAACUCUUUCAUACAGGGAUAAGUGUCACAUAAAAGAUAUAUGAAUUAAUGAAUAGUGACAAAGAUAAUUAAUCUGAUCAGCAUAACUAGCCACAUAUAAAUAUGAUAAGCACCUCAAUUAGAUAUUCUAGCAAGUCAUUAGCAUGGUAUUAGAACGAACUACAAGAAUAUUUCCUAAGUUAUUCUUAACUAUAUAGUCUAGCAUUAUCAUAGUUAGUGCAAUUAUACUUAGCAAUCAUUGCGAGAAAAGACUACGCCCAUGCAUAGUGAUAUUAGCAAGGAAUAUGAGAAACAUAACAAUCACUCCCCUGUAAUAAUGUUGCUCUGCCAGCCCAAUACACGAGAGGAGGACUAUAUAAGAAUCAAUGAAGCUGUCACUAUCACGAACUACCCCACAAUCUGGCAUAUUGGGUACAAUCGCAGAUAAAUACGGUAUAAGCACCGCGCCUACACAAUAUCUAUCAUUUACCCAUGGAUCCGAUGGAUAAACGCUAUACGAUCCUAAACAUGUAUAUAGAUCCAAUCUAACUAAGCCAAGUAUAUAACUAUGAUAAACUAAGAACAAAAUAAUCUUGAAUAUAAACAAGUAGAGCAAAGUCAUAAGCAAUAUAUUGAAGUAGAACAAACUCAUAUUCAUAAUAUUGAAGAACAAAGAUGAACAAUUAGAAGAACAAUUAGAGAAUUACCAAGAAUCCUCUUGACAGAUCCGGAAACCAAUCGAAGAUUGACUCCUUCUAGUUCUAAUCCUAUGUAGCUAUGCUAAUCUAGAUGUCUAAUUGAUGUGGUGGCUCUAGGCUUGAUCAGAGGCUUCUUCUCCCUUGAGGAAUAAUGAAUUAGGGUUGAGAGGCUCUCUUCUCCAGGGGCCAGGGGGUCUGGUUUUAUAGUCCCUCCAAGUGAAUAUGGGCCGUUGGAUCAAACCGACAUUGAUUGAACGGUUAUCCUUGAUCCUUUAGGUCGGUGGAGAUUGAUCUCGAAAGAGAGUCCUGUUUGGACUCCAGGAGGGGGCGGGCGCCCUGGUCACCUGGGCGGGCGCCCAGGGCCAGGCUCCGUUCGGCCUCCGCUUCCUUCCCGUGGCUUCUGGAGUCUUCUAGAUGUAAGAUAAUUGCGCGGCACAUUAAUAUCUCUAUGUAAUCCCGACGUGUGGGCCUUUCUUCUGUAUUUCCUGAUAACCCCCUGCAGAAAUAGACAAACACCAAAACUCGUGGAAUUCUAUCAGAUAAAACCCUAAGUCUGGAUGUUGGUUGCAUUUGGAUCCUUUUCUUUGUUUAUUUGAUAAUUAAAUUUGAUACUUAAGGACCGUCAACACCAGUCAUUAGAAAUGUUGAUAGGAACCAUGAAGGAUUUGUCAAAGUUUACUUUCAAACCAGAAGAUUCUCCAAAAACAUGUAGAAUGUCUUUAAGGUGCUGCAGCUGAGAAACAUCCCCUUGCAUGAAAAUGAGUGUAUCAUCCGCAUAUUGAAGGAUUGGGAACUCAGUAUCAUGCUGCAGAGGCAGGGGCAAGGCUAGUCUAUUAUUAGCACAAGCAAGAUUGAGGACUGAUUGGAGAACAUCAGCUGCUAGAACAAAGAGCAAAGGUGAGAGAGGAUCACCUUGUCGGACCCCCCAUCUGCAGUGGAACACUUUGCCAGGGAUCCCAUUAAGAAGAAUAGAAGAGGUUCCAAAUGUGAAGAUUAACUUCAUCCAAUUAAUCCAUUUUAUGGGUGUUGGGUAUUCUUAACAUCAUUACCAAAAGUAGACUAAGUUCUCUAAAUCUAGUAACGGUGCCAAAAAUGCCAAACCUAUCCCUCACACCACUUAAGCCAAGUUGUCAUCCCCAGCAUGAUAUAAGAGACGCGGUAUUGAAAUAUGCAAUUGCUCUUCUAAAUAAAUAAUGAAUUGGAUACAGAUUAAUACCGAUGCAGCAUUUUAACCGGGAAGUAUUCCAGGUAUCGUUAUUUAUAUUUUUACCACUGGGAAGGGAUUAGCGAUCAUCACUAUUGAUUACAGAAUAUAAUAUGAGAUUGAGCAUCUAUCAUUGCAUGUAUAAUUGAGAACAUUAUAUCUAACUCUUCAUACAGGGAUAAGUGUCACAUAAAAGAUAUAUGAAAUAAUAAUAGUGACAAGGAUAACUAAUCUGAUCUAGCCACAUAAUAAAUAUGAUAAGCACCUCAAUUAGAUACUCUAGAAAGUCAUUAGCAUGGUAUUAGAACGAACUACAAGAAUAUUCCCUAAGUUAUUCUUAACUAUAUAGUCUAGCAUUAUCAUAGUUAGUGCAAGCAUACUUAGCAAUCAUUGUGAGACAAGACUACGCCCAUGCAUAGUGAUAUUAGCAAGAAAUAUGAGAAACAUAGCAAUCACACCCCUGUAAUAAUGUUGCUCUGCCAGCCCAAUACACGAGAGGGGGACUAUAUAAGAAUCAAUGAAGCUGUCACUAUCACGAACCACCCCACGAUCUGGCAUAUUGGGUACAAUCGCAGAUAAAUACGGUAUAAGCACCACGCCUACACAAUAUCUAUCAUUUACCCAUGGAUCCGAUGGAUAAACGCUAUACGAUCCUAAGCAUGUAUAUAGAUCCAAUCUAACUAAGUCAAGUACAUAACUAUGAUAAACUAAGAACAAUACAAUCUUGAAUAUAAGCAAGUAGAGCAAAGUCAUAAACAAUAUAUUGAAGUAGAACAAAGUCAUAUUCAUAAUAUUGAAGAACAAAGAUAAUUAGAAAGUAAUUAGAAGCACAAUUAGAGAAUUACCAAGAAUCCUCCUGACAGAUCCAGAAACCAAUCAAAGAUUGACUCCUUCUAGUUCUAAUCCUAUGUAGCUAUGCUAAUCUAGAUGUCUAAUUGAUGUGGUGGCUCUAAUCUUGAUCAAAGGCUUCUUCUCCCUUGAUGGAACAAUGAAUUAGGGUUGAGAGGCUCUCUCCUCCAGGGGCCAGGGGGUCUGGUUUUAUAGUCCCUUCAAGUGAAUAUGGGCCAUUGGAUCAAACCGACAUAGAUUGUAUGGUUUAGAUUCAUCCUUUAGGUCGGUGGAGAUCUCCCGCGAAGCAGAGUCCUGAUUGGACUCCUGGAGGGGGCGGGCGCCCAGUAGGACAGGGCGGGCGCCCUGCCUCUGGCCCCGUUUCGCCUCCGCUUCGGUCUCGUGGCUUCUGGAGUCUUCUAGAUGUAAGAUAAUUGCGCAGCACGUUAAUAUCUUUACGUAAUCCCGACAUGUGGGCCUUUCAUCCAUAUUUCCUGAUAACCCCCUGCAGAAAUAGACAAACACCAAAACUCGUGGAAUUCUGUCAGAUAAAACCCUAAGUCUGGAUGUUGAUUUCAUUUGGAUCCUUUUCUUUAUUUAUUUGAUAAUUAAAUUUGAUACUUAAGGACCGACAACAAUGGGAAAACCUUUGUGUUCCAUUAUUUGCAACAUUAAUCCAUGUUCUACUUUAUCAAAAGCUUUCUCAAAGUCUAGCUUGAGAAUAAUGAUUUCUUUCUUUGAUUGGUGACACAUAUGCAAAUAUUCCAAAGCCCAGGCAACACAAUCUUGGAUGGUUCUAUUCCUGAUAAAACCAUAUUGGUUCUUAUGAAUCAAAGAAGGGAUCACAGCUUGCAAUCUGUUGGCAAGUAACUUAGUUAUAAGUUUAACUGAGUUAUUGAGCAAGGAGAUGGGUCUGAAAUCGGAGACCAAUGAGGGAUCAUCCUUUUUGGGGAUCAAGGUUAUGUAAGAACCAUUGAUACUUUGUAGACAGAGAUUUUCUGAGUAGAAGGCUGCACAAAGAUCAUAAAAGUCUUGACAUAUCAGGGUCCAGCAUUUCUUCAAGAAGUCAGUAUUGAAACCAUCUGGGCCUGGGGAUUUGUUAGAAGGGAGGUGCUUCACUAUUGCAUCAAUUUCUUCAUGUGAGAAGGGCUCAAUCAAACUUGAGAGAUCCACAGUAUUCUGUAACAAAUUUGGCAAGUCCAGGUGAACUUGUGAGAAGUUGGUAGUGCCCAGUCUCUCUUUAAAGGAGUCCCAAAUGAGAUUCGCUUUCUCCUCAUGGUUGUAAAGAGGUUGACCUUGAUCAUUGACAAGAUGAGUAAUUAGACUGCACCUAUGCUUAACAGUAGCAUUUUCAUGGAAAAAACUUGUAUUAGUAUCCCCAAGGGUUACCCAUUUAACUGUGCCCCUUUGCUUCCAAUAAGUUCUUUGUUGUUGAAGCAGGAAAAUAAGCUUGUCUUCCAGAAUGGAUCAAAAAUUCCAUUCUAUAAGAGAAAGAUCUCUGAAAUCCUCUAGUAAAUUGAGAAAAUCCAACACAAGUUUAACACGUGAGAUAUUUUGUUUCAAGUUUGAGAGAGACAACUUCCAAAUUUUCAACACCUUUCUCAAGUUUUUGAAUUCUGCAGUUAACAGUUUGGCAGCAUCUGAAUGAUGUGAAACAGUGGUCCAACCCAGGGUAAUCUGAUUUAAGAAAUCAUCAUGUUGUAACCAAUAGUUUUCAAAUCUGAAGAUAUGAGUCUUGGGGAUAGAAGUGGAGAUAGAGAUGAGGCAAGGGACAUGAUCCGAAGUUUCUGCUGUUAGCAAAGAGACACUGGUAGAGGGAUAAUUCAGGGUCCAGCUGGCUGAGGUAAAAAACCAAUCCAAACGCUCUAACAAAGGUGGAUUUUGUUUAUUGGACCAAGUAAAGCGUUUUCCUUUUAGAGGAAACUCAAUCAAACCUAGAGCGCUGAUAGCUUCAUUAAAAAGAUAAAUUUCAGCGUGAUCGGCCCCUUCUCUACUCCUGUCUGCAGGACUACGAUAGAGGUUAAAAUCACCAACUAUGAGCCAGUCAAUAUGGUUCGGCAUAUGUAUCUGUUUAAACCAUCGAAGGAACUCUCUUUUACCCUGCGGGGUGCAAGGGGCAUAGAUAUUAGUCAGGAUCCAGGUUACAUUAGAAUGAAGAGACGUAAACUCGAUGGAAACUGCAUAGGCAUUCUGAAAGAUCAUAGUGCUAGAGAAAAUGGUACUGUUCCAAACGAUAAUGGACCCUCCGGACACUCCAACAGAGGGUAAAAAGACAAACUCAUCUAAGGGGGGGACAAAAAUUUCGUAGAUAAGAAGGAUCAAAGUUAUCACGUUUAGUUUCUUGCAAGCACAAGAUAUCACAAUUAUUAGCACAAAGCCUAUCACGGAUAGCAUUCCAUUUUAUAUCUGAAUUUAUCCCCCUGAUGUUCCAGGACAAAACAUUCCACUUUCUAACAAGCAUUAUGACAGAGGCACAAAAACAAACAAAGGAACUGUGACAACAUCAGUUCCUGGAUGGAGAGGAAGGUUCAUCCUCCAAAUCCUGAUCAGCCUUUUUUGAAGCUGAUUUCUUUCCUUUCUUGGCUUUAGCAGCAGGCUUCUUGGAUGGUCCUUUAUCCGCCUCCUUUGUUAUCCUUAACUUCUUGGAAGUGGGCUUUUACACUGUAGCUUUACUGUUCUUGGCAGUAAGUGUUGGGUAUUCUUAACAUCACUACCAAAAGUAGACUUAGUUUUCUAAUUCUAGUAACGGUGCCAAAAAUGCCAAACCUAUCCCUCAUACCACUUAAGCCAAGUUGUCAUCCCCAGCAUGACAUGAGAGACGCGGUAUUGAAAUAUGCAAUUGUGUAACACCCUAAAAUUUACUCCUUUUGAAAUAUAGAUAAAAUUAUUUAAUUUUAUAUUUUUGCGCUCAUGAAAAUAUAGGAAAAAUAAUAUUUUUUUAAAUUAAAAUUUAUCAUAAGGCUUAGCAAUAUUAUUAUGCAUACAUGCUGGUGCAUAUGUUUUGAUGUGAUGCUUGUUGCUCCUUUAUGUGUUGAGUGAGCAAAGUUUUUAAAAUGUGUUUAGUAGAUCGAUCUUCGUACGUUUUUAUCUUUAUUUACAACCAAAUUCCUUGUUUCUAAGCUCAAGUUUUUAUUAGGAGUUUCCUAAAAUAUUUUCUUUGUUAUCCAAAUCACUUCUUUUAGUUCCUCGUCCAUCAAGCAAUCUCUACAAACCUCUCAGGAAUUUUUUCGGUCCUUUCUUCGUGAGCAUAAUCUAAUUUUUGGAUGCUCCAAAUUAUCUUUCCAUGAAUUUCAAAUACUUUAUUUCGGCUCCUCAGGUUUCAUGAUGUCUACAAGAAUUUUCUCUAAAUUUUCAGAGCUUUUGAAGUAUUUUUCGCGUCUUAAAUAAUAAUUCUAGAUUUUUUUCUGAAAUUAUUUUAAUCAUGAAAGUAAUUAAUUUCGAAAAUAAUAAUAUCUCUUUCUUUUCAACGCUGAAAUCCCAAGUGCAAUAAUUCCUAGAAACCAUGUCUUUCUUUAUUAAUGGGCUUUAAAAAUUAAUUAGGCCUAUUAAUAAAGAUGGAUGGUGCAACAUUAAUUAGUACCAUAUUGCCAAUUAACAUAGAUGUGGAAAGCUUUUCUCUCUAUUUAUAUGUACUAAUUUCUUAGACAAAAUACACCAAAACUAUAUAUAUAUAUAAAAAAAAGCCUCUAGUUCUCUUUGUCGUCCGCCUCCCGUAGUCCAAGCUAGUUCUACCACAGCUUUGGAUCUCGCUGAAUCCUGGAGCCGCAGCCGCUGCAGUCGUGCUCAUCGUCUGCUGCCUCUCCAUCCUCUGCAAUCGGAUACUGAUCCCCGGCCUGGAGAGCAGAGGAGUCAUUCUACCUGAAGCACCAUAUAUCUUCUUGUCCAAUGCAAAUCAAGCACGUCAGCGUUGUUCCUCUGCGGCUGAUGGAUUGAUGUUCAUGCAGGACCAAGCAAGCACGUAUGAUCAAGUUAGCGACAUCUUGCAAUGAUAAAUAGUAUAACACAUUGUUCAAUUGGCUAAUUACUUUACUGAUUUGACGCAUACAACAUCCUUGCGUAUCAAUUCAGCAUCUAGUUUUGCAUAAAUAAAAUUUCAUCAACUCGUUUCUUGGUCUAAUAAUUCUGGAAGCUCUUCGAAUAUCAUGCCACAUAUUCAUAGUGCUUUGUUAAUUAGAAAAUAAUUAAUCAGGCCGUAGUUUAAUUUUCUUUACAAUUAAAUCUCUGCUCAAAUAGUGCAAUGAUUUUCUGUAUAAUUUUUGCGCCUCUAUGAUCCUAACAAUGUAUAACACGUCAAAUAUUAUGAAUAAAUUCUACAAUUUAAAUAUUAAUAUAAUUAAUGUUUAUGCAAUGAGAUUUAUAAACAAAAUAUAAUUAGUUUGUCUUAGUUUUCUAUUUCAAAAUACAAAUUGACAUAAUAUGAUAUUUCUCUAAGAGAUUCUAUAUAUACUAUUAUAUAAUUAAAACAAAUAAGCUUGAAAAGUAAAUACUUUGGUAGUUGUUACUUUUUCAUCAUAGCUCCGAUUCGUAUGUUUUUCGCAUCUCUAUACUUGUAGUAAUGUGUAGAUUAGUUUUCAAACCUUUUUAUUGAUUGGUGUACUGUUCUAAUUGUAGCCUUGUUUGCUUCGUGUAUGUUUUCUUCGAUUGUUUGUGUGAUCGAUGAUCGAGAUUAGACGAUGAGUAAUUCUUGGUGAACCAGAGUACUUCAGUGAUCGAGAUCAGAGCCUUAGACAACUAGUAAGACCAGCAGGAUCCACAAGAGCAUAUGGAUCAAGGCAAGUAUAGCAUUUGGGUUUUAUUUCUAUGAUCAUGAUCCUGUGACUUGAUUAAUGUUUAAGCAAUAAAUGAUAAAAAUUACUUUUUAGCAACUUGAUGAUUUGUCUGUACGUGAUCACCCAGGAUAACAGUGUAACCAUGAGGGCUAUAAUGGCUCUGGCUUUAGCUCAGUAUGGAGACCUUUUCUAGCUUGUUAGCGAUUACCCGAAAGGGCGCUAGAGGGGCUGAACCGACACGGGUAUAGUGCGAGCCUCUGUCCCUAUGUGUAUAGGCUGCGCGUCAUUGUGCCAUUCGGAAGGGGGGUAUCUAUAUCUGCUCGCGAAGGAAACCUUGCGGCCCUAACAUGUUAGACGAACUUUUGAAAGGCUUCAUAGUGAUCCCUGCCGACCUUCCUUGGAAGUGGGUUAAGAGGCUGAUCACCUCGAGCGAAAGGGUAAAUCAUGACUCAUGGGUAAAGAUGUACAACCUCUGCAGAGUGUUAAAAACUAGUAUACUAGCCGAGCUCACGGUCAGGAGCGGCCUUGGGUACAUCUACAUUAAGGGUGAUGAAUCUUGUGUGUUAAAGAUGCUCAUUGUUUAUUGUUUAAUGCUCUACAUUAUUUAUGUCACAUUGACCAUGAGAUUGUGGGAUCUAUACAAUCUAGUUGCUAUACUUGUUGAGUUCGACAUGGGCUCACUCUUGCUAUUUCUCCCACACCUCAGGAGAAGUUUUGGGCUUGUGAUCAACCAGUCAGUUGGAUCCUGUAGAGAGAAGUUAAUACCCGAAGUUUGGAGUUGUUUAUCCGCUGUUUGCUAUCAAAGGUUAUCUCUUUCAUACUAAGUACGUUAUAUAUUUAUGCAUUGUCUUUUGAUAUUACCAUUUAUUUGUAGCUAUAUGUGAGAUUUGACUUCUAAGACUCACAUAUGGUGCAUAUCUGGUUUUAUCCUUAAAAUCGUGUAUUACAAAUUGCUCUUCUAAAUAAAUAAUGAAUGGGAUCUGCAAGCGCACAGAUUAAUACCGAUGUAGCAUUUUAAUCGGGAAGUAUUCCAGGUAUCGUUAUUUAUAUUUUUACCACUGGGAAGGGAUUAACAAUCAUCAGUGUUGAUUAUAGAAUAGAAUAUGAGAUUAAGUAUCUAUCAUUGCAUGUAUAAUUGAGAACAUUUAUCUAACUCUUUCAUACAGGGAUAAGUGUCACAUAAAAGAUAUAUGAAGUAAUGAAUAGUGAUAAAGAUAAUUAAUCUGAUCAACAUAUAAAUAUGAUAAGCACCUCAAUUAGAUAUUUUAGAAAGUCAUUAGCAUGGUAUUAGAACAAACUACAAGAAUAUUUUCUAAGUUAUUCUCAACUAUACAGUCUAGCAUUAUCAUAGUUAGUGCAAGUAUACUUAGCAAUCAUUGUGAGACAAGACUACGCCCAUGCAUAGUGAUAUUAGCAAGGAAUAUGAGAAACAUAGCAAUCACUCCCCUGUAAUAAUAUUGCUCUGCCAGCCCAAUACACGAGAGGGGGACUAUAUAAGAAUCAAUGAAGCUGUCACUAUCACGAACUACCCCACGAUCUGGCAUAUUGGGUACAAUCGCAGAUAAAUACGGUAUAAGCACCACGCCUACACAAUAUCUAUCAUUUACCCAUGGAUCCGAUGGAUAAACGCUAUACGAUCCUAAACAUGUAUAUAAAUCUAAUCUAACUAAGCCAAGUAUAUAACUAUGAUAAACUAAGAACAAUAUAAUCUUGAAUAUAAACAAGUAGAGCAGAGUCAUAAGCAAUAUAUUGAAGUAGAACAAAGUCAUAUUCAUAAUAUUGAAGAACAAAGAUGAUUAGAAGAACAAUUAGAAGAACAAUUAGAGAAUUACCAAGAAUCCUCUCGACAGAUCCGGAAACCAAUCGAAGAUUGACUCCUUCUAGUUCUAAUCCUAUGUAGCUAUGCUAAUCUAGAUGUCUAAUUGAUGUGGUGGCUCUAAUCUUGAUCAGAGGCUUCUUCUCCAUUGAGAAUAAUGAAUUAGGGUUGAGAGGCUCCCUCCUCCAGGGGCCAGAGGGUCUGGAUUUAUAGUCCCUUCAAGUGAAUAUGGACCGUUGGAUCAAACCGACAUUGAUUGAACGGUUAUCCUUGAUCCUUUAGGUCGGUGGAGAUUAGUCCCGAAAGAGAGUCCUGUUUGGACUCUAGGAGGGGGCGAGCGCCCAGGUCAACUGGGCGGGCGCCCAGUGCCUGGCCCCGUUCGGCCUCCGCUUCCUUUCCGUGGCUUCUGGAGUCUUCUAGAUGUAAGAUAAUUGCGCGGCACGCCGUUCGCCUAAACGGCCGUUUACACCGUUUAAACGCCGUGUAAACGCAACACAAUGGUACACCGUUUCUGUUUAAUCAUCUGUUUAGUCCGUUUAAUUGACCGUUUAGCCCGUUUAAUGGACUGUUUAGCCCGAAUAAUGGCUAAACGGCAGGUGACCGACUGUUUACCGUUUAGCGUUUAGGAAAACAUUGUCUCUAUGUAAUCCCGACGUGUGGACCUUUCUUCCGUAUUUCCUGAUAACCCCCUGCAGAAAUAGACAAACACCAAAACUCGUGGAAUUCUGUCAGAUAAAACCCUAAGUCUAGAUGUUGAUUUCAUUUGGAUCCUUUUCGUUGUUUAUUUGAUAAUUAAAUUUGAUACUUAAGGACCGUCAACAAAUUCCCCCAAGCUUAUCUCUUGCUCGUCCCUAAGCAAGGAUAGACUCAGCAAUGGAUUAGAAGUUGUUGCAAUAUCUUUAAAAAUUGAUGGUACACAUGCUUCUAUCUUGAGUAGUUAAAAGAUAGAAUAGUCUAGUCAAGUGCCAUGUCUCUUAUUCUUGAUCAGCUAUAGCUCUAGAGUUUUUGCAGAUUUUCAAAUAAAACUCAGAGAUUCCUUUUAUGACUCUCUUAGAUCUCUCUUUUGUGGUAUUUCUGGAUCCUUACCAAGGCAUUGAUGGUAUAUGCCUUCUCUCUCACCCUACUCUAAUAAGGUUUUUGAUAUCUGGAGCUCAUAGGUGAGAGAUAAAAUAUACAUACUUACAAGACAUUUAUUGCAUAGUCAAACCAUGGAUCCAAAGAAACAAAUCAAUAAGUCAAAUCAAGAUGUGCAUGUUUGGCGAAUGAAUGGUGUAUGGUGAUGAUGGCGAUAACAAUGGUGAAAGUCUAAAUCUUUUGCUUUUUGAGGGGAUACAUACCUUUCUUGCUCUUUGAAACUUUUGAGGAGAAUGAGAUGCUCUUCUUUUUCUUUUCUCUCAGGUGGGUAUCUUGUACCCCUAAUUCUACUGUCGGACACUUGUCCAUUUUUACCUCUCGUCUUACUUUUUCUUUUCUUUCGAGGUUCCGGGCACUUGCCUCUUUUUAUUUCCUCGUAUACUUUUUUUCUUUUUUUAGAGCACUCAUCUCUUGAGAUAAUAUAGCAAGUGGUAGUAACAAGAUAACUUGAGCAUUUAUUUCAUAGGGGAAAACAGAAAUAUUUUUGGCCAUUCUCUCCCGGAUUAGGAGUAGAAUAUUUUUGGGUGGUUGUGGAGAUGGAAAUUGGUGGAUAUAUGUAGAUGGUACUUCCGGAGUAGAAGUAGCAUAUGUGAGUGAACGUGCAAGUGAAUCUUGAUUUAACCACAUGACAAGCUCCUAAGGGUCUACACAGCUUGACCAGACUCAAUGCUUAUAAGUAGUAAAUAGUAAAUGUGUGACUCAAAGUCUAGCAAGCAUGUAUAUAUAGCUGUGGUAGCAAUUUAAACUCUCAUCAUACAGGAACUCAUCAUGCAAUAUUUUAAAGAUUUUAAAGAUAAAUUCUCCAGAAUUCUAGCAUCUCUAGGAACAGAUAAAUAGACAGCUCAACCUUCCCAUAUCAUAUCCGUUAACAACUUAGACUUCAGAUCAAGUUUUCUUCCCACAAGUUUAGGUUUAGAGCAAGCUUUAAAUUAUAACAGUUAUGUCUAAACUAGAGAGAAAACUCAAAUUUUAAAAUUAGGCAGAGCAACUAUUCAUCAUAUCCAUGCUAGAGUUUUAUUAUUAUGAUUCAGAUUAGCAUAGCCACUUUAUUUAUUUAUUAAACUAAGCAAAAGAUAUAUAUAUAUAUAUAUAAGGAUAAAAUCUUUAUUUAAUUUUUCAUAGUUAUGUAUAUUUAAUAUAGUAAAAGUAUAAAGAUAGAUAGAAAUACUUAGCAAGAUAAAUGGGGGUGCUCUCCCCCAAGCUGAAUUUUGACGUAAUUUCUCUUGAUGUAGCUAGCAGGUGGCAGAGGUGUAUUUGAAAGUCGGCAGCAUUCUGACAGCGAUUAGAAUGUCCUCCGUUUGCUAGUCUUCUUGAUUCUUAAAUUAUGUGGAGCUCAAAUAGACAACAAAGCUUUGUGGAACUGAUUAAGUGUUAGCAUAAAUAUCUAGCCUUUAUCAUGUUGAGUCUCCUUAAUAAAUGUUACUCCCUAUUUUUAUAUUUUCGUUUUAUAAAGCAAAAAAAUAUUUAUUUUAUUUUUAUGCCACCACAGUGAAUGUACUUAUGGGUUUUAUGCCACUCGUAUACUCACAUGGGGCUUACUAUUUUUUAACAUUUUUAUUUUCUUUUUAAGAUAGUAUGAACAUGAUUAACUAAGCAAACUGUUUGAAAUAAUUGAAAGGGAAAAGAUAACUACCAAGUUUACCUCUUGGCAAGGCGUUCGGUGUUUUUAUGUCCUCCGAACGGGACUCUCCGUUUUUUAAUUGUCCUGGGACUCGUUGGGUGGCGGGGUCGGUACUUCUGGGUGGAGGGGGCGGGCGCCCAGGUCAACUUGGCGGGCGCCCAGUGCCUGGCCCCGUUCGGCCUCUGCUUCCUUCCCGUGGCUUCUGGAGUCUUCUAGAUGUAAGAUAAUUGCACGGCACGUUGAUAUCUCUAUGUAAUCCCGACGUGUGGGCCUUUCUUCCGUAUUUCCUGAUAACCCCCUACAGAAAUAGACAAACACCAAAACUCGUGGAAUUCUGUCAGAUAAAACCCUAAGUCUAGAUGUUGAUUUCAUUUGGAUCCUUUUCUUUGUUUAUUUGAUAAUUAAAUUUGAUACUUAAGGACCGUCAACAGUAAGCGCCUCAUCGGAGUGUUUUGCAGGUUCAAUGUUGCAGAAAGCAGUUCCAAGAUCUCGCACUACAGACGUAGAAAGAACUGGAGGAUUAGGUGAGCAUCCUAAACAAUUUUUAUCCUUGCAGAGAGAUGAUUUAAAGCCCCUAGAUUGAUUAUGUAUUCGAUCACUGUGUCUUAAGUCAGCUUCUGAGAUAUGUGUCUUUUUACCUCUCUUCCCAUUUGGAGAUGCCUUGCAGAUGGGAGGAGCUGGAGGAGGAGUAGCUUGGCUGUUAUCGAAAAUCACUUGGUCAGUAUCACCAUUUGAGGAAUCACCAGAUUGUCUAGAUUGAUCUGCCAUAAGUGAGCAAGUGAUAUCAGAAAUGACCACAGAGGGUUUUGUGGGAGGUAAAGAAAAGGUGAACGAGUUAUUGUUACCAGAAGAGCUCAGAAGAGAAGUCCAGGCUUCAGACGUAAGAAACUCCUUGGCCCAUUCAUAUGAACCUUGUUUAAGCAGCAGCAGAGUGAAAAAAUCCACCCACUGCGGUGGAACUGCUACCCUUGGGAGAGUGUUAUCUAGGCCAGAAAAAUAUUUAGCCCAACAUCUGAUGGCCAUUGGGCUUGGGCUAAAAACAGAAGGGCUACCAGGAUCUGAAUGUCCAAGGUCUAGAGAGGUGAGCUUGCUCAGCGUGCCCAUCUUAGUCUGUUGGAUCAGAGAUUCCAUGUGAUGUAGUUCUGGCACCACUGGUGGGAAGAAAGUGUGGACAAAGCCCAGUUGCACCUGGUCAGGGUCUGGGUUUUCCAACAAAGGAUUCAAAAGUGGACUGCCAUCCUGUUGCAUUGGCGCCAAAGUAGAUCUCUGGGCAUUCAAAAGAGGACUAUCAUCCUGAUGCAUUGGCGCCAAAGGAGAUCCCUGGGCAUUUUCAGGCAUCAGAAUGUCCAAAGCAGGAGCUUCAUUUUGAGGAGCUUUAGGCAGCUGCAGACCCAGAGCAGCUUCAAGUUGAGCAUCUUCAGGUAAAUGGGGACCCAGAUCCUGUUCAUUUGGAGGAGCCACUAGAUCAAGGUUCUCAUCUAACCAGUCAAUCAAAUCUUCCUCCUAGAUUUCUUCUGGCAGGAGAGGCUGCAGAUUGUUGAAGUCCGAAAAAGCCACAAUUUCCACUGGGGGAACGGGAAGCUGUGCUUGUGGAUGGAUGUCAGAGUCUGUAUCUGUCCCAUCGUCCAUAGCUAUUGUUGACACUUACUAACACCACUUGAAUACUAGGUUGUCAUCCCCAGCAUGGCACUAGAGUGUACUAUGGUAUUUAUACGCACACAGAUAAUCCGCAAGCGCACGGAUACCGUUAUAGCUUUUAUCCGGUUAAAGGUUUUAUCGUAUGCACAGGGAAACGGGAGAACUGAUCUACGCUCUAACUUAACCAAGAUAAGUAAAUAAGUGUAAAUAGGAAAGAUGGUAGUAUUGAAUAAGAACAAUAUUAAAGGUAAGAUAACAAUGGGUGAUAAUAUGGGAAUAGAGAGUAGAGCAAUUCUAGUAUAUGGGCGAUGGUAGCAGAAUAGAGAGGAUAACUAUGGUUUCUCUACUUCAAAGGGGUAUGUAUAUGUCUGGGACGAACCACGUGAUAAGAGUACACCACAAAGGAUGCUUAUCCUUAGGCCGAUAAACCCUACCCGUCCUGCUAACGAGAGGUGGACUAUAGAGGACCAACGUAACUAUCACCUACGCGGCCUACCACACGAUCCAGCUAGACAGGGGAUAUCCACAAGUAAUCUAGGUCCAAGCACCACGCUUACACUUAUACUACAACUCUCACCUAUAGCGUCCUAUAGACUAGAAUACUCAAAAGAGUUGUGAACCAGAACAUACAUAAUUAGUAAUUGCAUAAUGAAUUAGAAGUAGACUACCAGAGUCAUCCCAUGAGCAAGCUUGAUUAGAGCUUGAUCAUGACAAAGUACAACCGGAGGAAGAACCGACAGGCCGGCCUCUCCUCUAAUCCUCCUUCGCUCUCCAUCUUGCUACUAUCUAGAUAUACUCUAGUUUAGAGAAGAGAGGAGAGCUCUCAUCUCUAAACCCUAGCUUUUGCUCUGUCUAUGAAUAAUGAAUAAUGAUCAAGGGGUGCCUCCUCCAGGGGCCACGGGGUCUGGUUAUAUAGUCCCCUCAAGUGAACCUGGGCCGUCGGAUCAAACCGACAUUGAUUGAACGUUUAUUCUUGAUCAUUUAGGUCAGUGGAGAUCUCCCGAGAGAAAGAGUCCUGAUUGGGCUCCAAGUCAGGGCGGGCGCCCAGGGCAGGAGGGCGGGCGCCCAGGGCAGGAGGGCGGGCGCCCUGCCUCUAGCCCCGUUCGGCCUCCGCUUCCUUCCCGUGGCUUCUGGAGUCUUCUAGAUGUAAGAUAAUUGCGCGGCAUAUUAAUAUCUCUAUGUAAUCCCGACGUGUGGGCCUUUCUUCCGUAUUUCCUGAUAACCCCCUGCAGAAAUAGACAAACGCCAAAACUCGUGGAAUUCUGUCAGAUAAAACCCUAAGUAUAGAUGUUGAUUUCAUUUGGAUCCUUUUCUUUGUUUAUUUGAUAAUUAAAUUUGAUACUUAAGGACCGUCAACAAACUCCCCCAAGUUUACCUCUUGCUCGUCCCUGAGCAAGGAUAGACUCAGCAAUGGAUCAGAAGUUGUUACAAUAUCUUAAAAAUUUGACGGUACACAUGCUUUGAAAUAAGAUCUCAUCUCUAAGUUAGAGUAACCUGUCAAGAACUAAAACUUACUUACUUUACCUUUCACCAUGGGACUUGUAACCGUCACUUCUAUCUUGAGUAGUUAAAAGAUAGAACAGUCUAGCCAAGUGCCAUGUCUCUUAUUCUUGAUCAGCUAUAGCUCUGGAGUUUUUGCAGAUUUUCAAAUAAAACUCAGAGAUUCCUUGUAUGGCUCUCUAAAUCUCUCUUUUGUGGUAUUUCUGGAUCCUUACCAAGGCAGUGAUGGUAUAUGCCUUCUCUCAAGAUAUAUGGUAUUUGUGGUAUAAGGCAUUGUGACAUUGCCUUCUCUCUCACCCUACUCUAAUAAGGCUUUAAUAUCUGGAGCUCAUAGGUGGGAGACAGCUAAUACAUACUUACAAGACAUUUAUUGCAUAGUCAAACCAUGGAUCCAGAGAAACAAGUCAAUAAGUCAAAUCAAGAUGUGCAUGUGUGGCGAAUGAAUGGUGUAUGGUGAUGAUGGUGAUAACAAUGGUGGAAGUCUAAUUCUACUUUUGGUCUUUUGAGGGGAUACAUACCUUCCUUGCUUUUUUAAACUUUAUGAGGAGAAUGAGAUGCUCUAUCUUUCAUUUUUUCUUUCCUCUCAGGUGGGUAUCCUGUACCUCUAAUUCUACUGUCAGACACUUGUCCAUUUUUACCUCUCGUCUCACUCUUUUUCUUUUCUUUCGAGGUUCUGGGCACUCGCCCUUUUUUAUUUCCUCAUAUAUUUUUUUCAGAGCACUCAUCUCUUGAGAUAAUAUAGCAAGUGGCAGUAGCAAGAUUACUUGAGCAUUUAUUUCACAAGGGAAAACCGAAAUAUUUUUGGCUAUUCUAUCCCGAAUUAGGAGUAGAAUAUUUUUGGGUGGUUCUUGAGAUGGACAUGUGUGGAUAUAUGUGGAUGGUACUUCCGGAGUAGAAGUAGCAUAUAUGAGUGAACGUGCAAGCGAAUCUUGAUUUAACCACAUGACAAGCUUCUAAGGGUCUACACAGCUUGACCAUACUCAAUGCACAUAAGCAGUAAAUAGUAAAUGUGUGGCUCAAAGUCUAGCAAGCAUGUAUAUAUGGCUAUGGUAGGAAUUUAAACUUUCAUCAUACAGGAACUCAUCAUGCAAUAUUUUAAAGAUUUUUCAAAGAUAAAAUUCUUCAGAAUUCUAGCAUCUCUAGGAACAGAUAAACAGCAGCUCAACCUUCCCAUAUCAUAUCCGUUAACAACUUAGAUUUCAGAUCAAGUUUUUAUCCCACAAGUUUAGAUCUAGAGCAAGCUUUAAAUUAUAACAGUUAUGUCUAAACUUGAGAGAGAACUUCAAAUUUGCAAAUUAGGCAGAGCAACUAUUCAUCAUAUCCAUGCUAGAGUUUUAUUAUUAAGAUUCAGAUUAGCAUAGCCACUUUAUUUAUUUAUUAAACACACUAAGCAAAAGAUAUAUAUAUAUAUAUAAGCACAAAAUCUUUAUUUGGUUUUUCAUAGUUUAUGUAUUUUAAUAUUCUAAUAUAAUAUAAGUAUAAAGAUAGGUAGAAAUACUUAGCGAGAUAAAUGGGGGUGCUCUCCCCCAAGCUGAAUUUUGACGUAAUUUCUCUUGAUGUAGCUAGCAGGUGGCAGAGGUGUAUUUGAAAGUCAGCAGCAUUCUGACAGCGAUUAGAAUGUCCUCUGUCUGCUAGUCUUUUUGAUUCUUAAAUUCUGUGGAGCUCAAAUAGACAACAAAGCUUGUGGAACUAAUUAAGUGUUAGCAUAAAUAUCUAGCCUUCAUCAUGUUGAGCUUCCUCAAUAAAUAUUACUCCCUGUUUUUAUAUUUUUAUUUUAUAAAGCAGAAAAGAAAUGUUUAUUUUAUUUUUAUGCCACCACAGUGAAGGUACUUAUGGGUUUUAUGCCACUCGUAAACUCACAUGGGGCUUAGUAUUUUUAUUUUCUUUUCAAGAUAGCAUGAUUAACUAAUAAUCUAUUGAAGGAAAGUAAAUAAUUAAAGGGAAAAGAGAAUGCAUAAAGGAUAAAUAUGGAUAACUACCGACCUUACCUUUCGGCGAGGGUUCAAUGUUUUAAGUCUUCUUAACAAGACUUCUCACCGUGUUCAUUCUUCAGGUGCAUCAUUUGAUUCAGGUGCGGACCUUGACGUCUGCACCUCUUCGUUUGCCCAGCAGUUCGAAGUGCGGCGUUGGCAGUAUCCUGCUCAGUGUGUUUGUGCUCGUAGAUCCAGGUCCUUCACUUGGUAGAGUCUGAGAGUUAUAAAACUCCUCCGUGUUUUGCUCGAAGUGUACCUGCUCAUAGAGACAAGGCAGAGAUCAAGUGCAUGGGUCCUGUUGGUGGAAAACACCAACGGAACCUAAAGUGUAUUUGUUCUUCUCUAACCCUAAGCUUAGUGAGCAAGACAAAGUUGAUGGAUGAAAAGUUCAUAAGUGUAGCACUUAUAACAUUUGUCAGAUCAGAUCGCUCAACCUUAUGGAAAGAUAAUCUAUCUAUGUAUAUGUCUUUUUCUUUAUAUCUCUCAAAGAUUGAAUGUGUAACAUUUUAGCUCAUAUGGUUAGGAGUGUGGGAUCAUGGAGGUAGUACUAGGAACAAAGAUUAAAGGACUAAACAUGCUGAAUGAGUUAGGUUGGUUAAUUUGGAGUUAUAAAUCAUACAUGUUUGUCUCUUUAUUUAUGUGAACGCCAGAACCAAGGAGAAGCUUAUAAAAGUGAUAGUCAAGUACAUUAAGGUGUUACCUUACUUGAAGAGUGAUGGUACCAUCUCACCUUGUGGAAGCUUCCCAUUCGUAGUGGUUGUGUAUCUUGUUUAUGUACUUUGUCUCCUUCCAUGGAUCAUCUCUCUAUGAUGAAUGAGCUAUGUCCUUCUUGUGCAAAUUGUUAAACUUCAUGUGUCACUCUCUUCGUCUCUGAUGUGAGUUUAUCUCAGGACUUCCCAAAUCGAUAUUGAAAGUUUUUCUACAGGGGUUAGUCCGACAAAAAUAUACCAAUGUCUACACAAGCAGUUUUUAGUUCAAUAACCGAACUAGACUCCAUGUCUAAUCAGAUUAAGGAAGGCUGUUUAACCUAAGCACCAUGCUUAAUUUAAAAGCCAAUAGAAGUAUGUGCAGUACUUCCAGACUAACACUUACUAGUAAAUAGACAAAGGUAACAUGACAACAUUUAUAGAGAUCUACUCAAGUGGAGAUAAAGUAGUGUGAUUAGUAUUUAACAAAUUGAGCAUGUCUUAAAGGUAGGGACAACCAACAUAGCAACAUGGCAAAGGAUGUUUUUAUGUAAAGUACUCCCCCAAGCUUGAAUUUUGCAGAAUUCAAGUUUGGAUGAAUUUCAUUCAGUGUUGCAUGAUGAUUGAUUGGACAUACCUUGUACUUGCUUGUCAUUCAUCUGAUCUUCUUGUUCUAAUCCUGGAAAGGUUAGUGACAAGAAUACCCGAAGAAAUAUUUUUACAAUUAUCCUUAUAUGCUCAAUACACAAGGUAAUGUUGCAAAUAAUUAAAAGCUCAUGUUACGAUCUGAUCAGUGCUUAUUUUCGGACACUAAGCUUGUCCUUGGGAAACCAUCAAUUUAUGUCGGCGAAGUGGUUUCCCUUCUAACGCUGACCUAUAUCAAGAUCAACUCAACAAGAUCUGCAAUAUUUAUUAUAGACAUAUGCAUCGACAAUCGCCCUUUUAAAGUUUUUAUAAGUAGAAAGGAAGAGGGGGUUGGAGAUCUCAAAUGUGGUGAUGUUGGAGAGACCAAUAGAUUGGGAAGAUGUUGCAUAUGAGCAUGGAGUAAAUGAAGUGGCUAUGAAAUAAAUUCCAUACUCAUUAAUGUUAUCUUCGUCUCCAAUCUGAAUGUUUGGAGUCUCUCCUGGAUUGGUCUCAUUUAUGUCCUCUUCUAUAGUUGGAUGAAUCCCAUCUUCAAAGGGAGUCAAGAACUCACCAUUUGAAAUUGAGCCCAAGUCAGAAUCCAUUAAGGCUUCUUCCUUAUCCAUCCAUUCUACACAUUCUAGCCAUUUAGAACUUGUGAUCAGGAA